rnacentral:lncRNA from 1 species
GGAGAGAGAGAGAGAGAGAGGUGAUCGAAACCUUUGUCCUGAAACGCUAAUCCUAAAUUGAUCUCGAAGAAGCUAUAAGCCCUCUUGGAAUGGCAAUGGAAGGGUGGUUAAUCAUUACUGCUAUGCGUGGUGUACCAUGAUAUCAGUUGGUUUUAGAAGGUGCAGCAAGCUAAGAUUUCAUGCAGCAAGCUAAGGAUUCGUCAAUACAUUGCACUCAAGAACAAAGAAGCCUAAACGAUGCAACUGUUUUUCUUUUACAUAAUCCUGAACAUUCUGAAAGAUGCGAUGUUUGCAAUAAAGAAAUCAAGUAAUGAGCUGAAAAUAACAAAACUAGGAUGCCUGCUCAGGCUUUAGAGGCCAUUAGUCAAAUGAAAUGGCACGGACAUCCCGUACCUGGCGAUUUGGGGCUUUCUUCAGGACCAAAGAGUGCAAUAUAUCUCUUUGUGUUCAUGAGCCUUUUCUGCUUCUUAGACGGCGUGGUGGCAGUCUGAGCGUCAUCUUCAGUUUUUCUUUUGGCGAUUGGGGCGGACGUUGAGGUUCCGUUAGAAUCUUGGUUCGACGGGGGAGAAGGUGAGCCGCUGGUAUUCCUAGCUCUGGCGGACUUUUUUGUUGAGUCUUUUGGCUUGUUUGGCGAGGAUGCGGAUAUGGGGGUAGCAAUGGCAGUGGCAUCCCUGGUGAGCCUUGUAGCAGAUCUGUGGGAGGAAGUCGUGGCGGGAAGAUGUUUAUAUUUGUUCUUGCCUCUGGUUUCCCGAGUAGACCUCCUGAGGUUUGGUGUCUGCGCAUUGGUUGCGGCGGCUGUGGUGCUCCUGGUCUCUCUGGCAUUGGGAAGCUUCCUCGUGGCAGUUGCAGAAGCAGAAGGAGGAGGAGGAGGAGGAGCGGUGUGUCCGUCUCUGGGUGCCCCUGAGGCAGCAGCUCCUCCUCCUCGUCCUCCUGAUCGGGUAUUGGCCAUGGAUCAGUAGAAGCGCAUCAGCACCUGGGGACAUACGUUCAUUAGGCGUUUGUUUAGGGAAGGAAUCCUCCGAGGCGCGAAUUCGAUUGAGUCCAAUUCUAAGCAGAGGACAAGGGAUGGAUCGAGGGCCUUAGACAGAAUGGAACCAGAGGAGAAGUCAUUGGUUACUUACCAACCAGGCGAGGCGGUGAGGCGGCAAUGGAAGAAGCAGCAGAAGAAAUCGGUCCUGAAUCCGCUCCGGCGGAAGCGGCAGCUGAGCUGACGCGGGGCUUGCGCGGCGCUGGAGCAACACUGGCACCGGAGUGCCCAAACCCUAGCCCCAAGGAGAGCCGCCUCCUCCUCCGGCGUGGCGGCGUCUGGAGGGGCUUUGCGGUGAAGGGAGGAGGACGGAAUUGAAGGUGGGGUUGGGGAGGGGGGGGGGCAACGAAAAGAACAAGGGGGUCCUCCCUCACCUCUGCCCAGGCUCCAGCUACUCCCCGGCCCAUCCCAAAUUUACAUGUGUUUGGACGGAGAGCAUAAGAGUGGAGCGGCUUCUACGUAAAAAAAGAAAUUUCUCGUAUUUUUUAACCCUCAAUUCGUAAACUUUUCAAAAUAUGUGAAUUUUUUUUAUUUGGAGGAGUUCUUCUCCUUUUUAUAAUUUUCCUUUUUUUUCUUCUCGAUUUUCAAGUUAAUGGACCAAUUUGCCCCUGCCUCUCUCCUGUCUCUCGUCUCUUUUUAUUCUUAUUCUUGGCUGUCUCCUCUGCUUGCCGCCACUCCGUCUCUUCUUCCUCGCUCCAACUGUAGUUUCUUUCCAACGACAAUCAACUGUAGCGUAGCCUUAACAUAUGACGAUCGGGGGUAUAUAUUUAUCGGAUCAGCAAACAAAAAAGCCAUCCAGAAACAUCUCCACGUCUCUCCCUCGUGUUCUAAUGCUGUAUCCUCCUUCCUACUCUCGAUCUGUCGCACGCGCCACGCCAUCCCGGCCCAAUCCGUUCGACGGCAACCUUCCCCUCCCGCCACUCCUAUAGCGCCAUGCAUAUGCUUGGCAGGAAAAUUACAGGGGGGUCGAUCUGAAAAUCUGACAGGAACAAAGGGUAGUGGCACGGCACAUGCAGGUAUCAAACAUUAAUUUACAACCACUAGAAUUAAUAUGAAAAAAAGGAUUAGAGCUAAUAAUUAUAAUUGUCUAUCCCACGCCCUCUUUGAUCAAUUGAAUAUUCUAACGCAUACUCUAAAAUAUAUGUUUAUUAUUAUUUAGUUGCAAUAGAUUUCUUUUUGCAUCACAUCUCCAUGAGUGUUUGAUAUAUAUUUAAUUAAAUUAUUUAUUUAUAAAUUGGUAUUCUUAUCUCUUUCAUCAUACAUAAAUACAUGGUGAUACAUAUCCUGGGUAGUCUUUUUAUAUAAACAAUAACGUAAAUAAUAUAUUAAUAACGAUAGAAAUAGUAAUUUAGAAUUUUAUAUUGGUGUAUUUUAAUAUUUUAUUAUAAUUAUAUAAUUUAGAUUCAAAUUUAGAGGUUACUUUAACUUUUUAACAUUAAUAUAAUUAUUUAGGAGGUUAUUUGCAUUAUUUUUAUAAUAGCAUACAUGGGUAAUUUAUACGAAGAUUAGAGUGUUACUCUAGAUCUUUUUAAUAAUGAUAGAUGUGGGUAAUUUAGAUACAUGUUUAGGAGUUACUUUAGUCUGUUUUUAUAAUGGUAGAGGGGAAUAAUUUAUUAGAAAAGAUAAUAGAUCUAAUGACUAUUAUAAUUAGAGUCGUCGGAUUGAUGACCGGAUGUUUCUGAUUUUCUUGAGAAUUUUUAGAGUUUUUUAUUUUCAAAAUGUCCACAUGGAAUUCUAGGUGAUUUCAUGCGGAAGGUUAAAAGAAAGCUCCACUUAAUAAAUAGUAAUAGUAAGAUUGAGCAUAAUAUAUAUUUGAUGGUCAGUGAUAGAUGAUGGAAUUUAUUUAUUGAUGCAUGCGUGGUCGUCUGAGCUUCGAUGCGAGCUGCGAGCAGACACGGAGGUAGGGAAGCUGCGGCCCGGAGGUCCUCCUGAGAUGCACCGCGUACCGGGACUGCUCUUCAAUUCCCCGGCCGGCCGUCAAGAGCUGGAUCUCGAACAAGACCAAGCUUCCCAGGGCGGAGGCGCUAGAGACGCCGGGCGGCGGGACGACGCACACCAUCCGGUGGCGGUGGCUGUGGUACAAGAGGAUGGAUACGCCCAGCUGCCCCAGCGCCGUGGCGAUGCGCCGCAUCGUCUCGCGCGGACACUCGUGGAGGAGGAGCUCGACGCCGUCCAAGCCUCCUCCCAGCGCCCACUGCGGCGGCGGCGGCGGCGGGGGGGGGGGGGGAUGGAGAGCUGCUGGUAAUAACGGGCCGCCGCGUCGUACUGCUCGCUGAGGACCAGCUGGUACGAGACCGCCUCCUCGGAGCCGGAGGAGCCGUCGUCGUCGUCGUCGAGGUGGUGGAGCAGGCUGGCCCUCUCGAACCCGUGGCGCGUGACUAGCAGCUCCACGGUGCCAGCGUCGACCGCGGCUGGUCGUCGCAGAGCGGGACUAGUCGUCGGCAGCAUCGCCAGGUACGGCGGCAUGUCCGGCUGUAGCCAGCGGUGCUCCCUCACCUCGGUGAUGGUGGCCCGCUUCUGCGGCACGACGAUGAGCAUGCUGGAGAUGAGGUCCCGGGCGUCGUCGGAGACCCAGGACGGCAGCCGGAAGUCGCCGCGCCUGAUGUUCCUGCGCAGGUCGGAGAUGUCGUCGGUGCCGCCGUCGAAGGGCAAGCGGCCGCAGAGCAUGGCGUAGAGGAUGACGCCGCAGCUCCACACGUCCACCUCGGGCCCCACGUAGAGGCGGCCAUCCAGCAACUCCGGCGCCGCGUACUGCGGGCUCCCGCAGCUCUCCGUCUGCAGCCUCCCUGGGGCCCACAGCUCGCUGAAGCCGAAGUCGGCGAUCUUGACGUCGCCCCGGGAGUCGAGCAGGACGUUCUCCAUCUUGAGGUCGCGGUGGACGACCAUGCUGCGGUGGCAGUAGGCCACGGCGGCGACCAGCUGCUGGAAGAGCCUGCGGGCCGGGGCCUCCGGCAGCCUCUCCCGGACGGCGACGUGGUCGUAGAGCUGCCCUGACUCGGCGAGCUCCAUGACGAUGUAGGUGUGGUCGCCGGAGCGGACGGCCUCGUAGAAGCGGACGAUGUGGGGGUGCUGCGGCUGCCGGAGGCUGAGCAGACGCAUCACGAAAACCUCCCGCUCCACCGCUUUGUUGAUCGUCAAAGCUUUGCCUUUGCCUUUGAGGAUGAUGAUCUUGAUGGCCACCGGGUGGCCCGUGCGGAGAUGCCUGGCCUCCCAUACCUCCGCGGACUUGCCCUCCCCUCUCAGGCUGUGCAGCUCGUACCUCCCACGAAGCGUCGCCGGCAGCGGCUUCGCCGCCGCCGCCGUCGUCCUUGGCCUCUUGCCUAGUGAUGAUGGUGGUGGUGUCGAUGAUGAGCCCUCCUGCUGCUGCGACCUCUGCAUUGGAGUAAUUCAUAUAUUGAUUGAUCAUAUUUAUAUAUAAUAGCCGCUGCUAGCUGGAGCAGUUAAUAACUUGCAGGCACCUACGUAGCGUACUGCAGCCAUGGAUCGGAAUUGAAGAUGCCGCCGGCCAGCAGGCAAUAAGCAAGAGGCCGGCGGGAGGAAUUGAAGAUGGCCAAGGGAGACGAUCUAUCAGGGAUCAGCUAGUACUAGUAGGCAGUAGCAAGCAAGAGAUCAGCGGCGGGCGGAUGGAUAUAUCGAUGCCCAAAUUCGUCGCAAACUAGGGAGGGAGGAAAUUACAGUCUACUUCGUACGUAAUUCCUUGUUAUUAGUUACUGUAAUUUUCUAACUAAAAAAAAGGAAGGAAUUACUGCUUGCUGCUGCAGCAGCAACAAGGCAGUCUGCAUCCCUCGUCUGCAACGACGACGACCGUACCUAGCACUAGCAGACAAGAAAACCAUCGGUCCAAAUGAUGCAUUGCACGCUCUGUAUCUUCUUAUAUAUAUGUUGGCUAAUGGCUACCUUUUCUUUUUAUUAAUUUUCUACAUGCAUGCAUCAGCUUAGUUAUUAAUAUUCUAGAUGCGCGUACAUAUAGAUUUUUUCCAACAUAAUUUUCUUAUCCCUAUAGUUUUUAGGGACAUCACAAAACCAAUUAUCAAGUUCAUUUCCUCUUCUCUCCAAGAUGUGGUCCUAUUUAAUUUGGUUCCUCUUAUACCCGGCUUAUAUGUGAAUGAAUGAGAAGCGAAAAUCCUACCCAAACACUUUGUUUAUCUUUUGCAUACCACAAAAGCCACUUAGCAUAGAAGCAGGAAACAACAGGUGUCCAUCCCCGCGUUUCCAAUAAGCAACAUUGCUUACCAAGACAAGAUUCUCCAGAAAAGGGCUUAUCAGAAAAGUCUACUUCUCAAAUAAGAGAGUUUUAGAAGCGGAAUCAAAUAGGGCGACAGUAAGUAACACAAUGCCGUCUGUUAACAACAGUGAUGUGCCAUGAACCAACAUAUAUGGAGAUGAGUAAUAAUGCAUCCAUACACACACUAACCUAACCACCAUCCCAAUUUCGACUUCAUCCCUGAAAAGAGCAAGGCAACAACAUAUAUAUAUAUACACAAUAUUAUCCGUACGUCAGAAUUUUGCGUUGCUGUUGCAUGCUCAGUCAAUCAAUAAUCCCUAUCAAUAGAUUAGCCGAGUACUGGACGCCACAUGGGAAAUGGGGCAGCGAAACAAAAAGGUUGAGCAGUGGGCUGCCCGGCAGCUGUUGAAUCCAAUCCAUCUUCACGAGAAACUGAGAAAGAGAGAGGCUUCCUGUCGCUGAUCCAACCAUUGCUGCCUCGCCGCCUCUGCUCACAUCUUCCUUGAUGGAUGAACAUUAGGUUAUGCUAUUACAGCUCUAACACCACAACUGCAAGUCAAUCGAGAAGCAGGUGAGGUGAGGUGUAAAUGCAUACGACAGGUUCAGCAAUAUAUGAUUAAGGAAGACUACUACCAGAUAGUAAGCAAAUGAAUAAUGCAGACACAACUUACAAUCUGAAUCCGUGGUGAUCCACUGCCCUAUCCUGCAGCUCCCCUCCUCCUCCUCCUCCUCCUCUCCAUCCAUGUUCUUCAUGCUCUUUGGGCUGCUGCUGCCGCCGCCGCCGCUGCACAGCAUACUCUGCUGGCUCAUGGACGACAACCUUGACAUGUAGUAGUCUUUUCUAGAUGGCGUCUGCUCUGACGCCUUUGCCGGCGCUGACAUCAACGACAAUGGUGAAUAUGCAACCGACGACGCUGAAGAGCAGCUGCCCACAUCCCACUUGAAGCUCAGCUUGCUCGAGCUGCAGCUCAUCUCGUCGCUCGCCUCCUGCUGCUUCUGUUUCUGCUUGCACCCUCCCUUUGCAGCUGUUGCGGCUGCAGCGCUGUCCCUUGCGUGGAAGCUCAGAACCUUCUGCAAGAACACAUUUGAUUUCAGCAUACAAGCAUCUACGCUGGAUCAAAACCUCCGAAUCUUGAUUUAGCUCCUAAUCCGAGUCCAGCGUGGGGAGAUAAUCAACAAAUUGAACCGUACAUACCUUCCAUUUCUUGCCACUGACUGUGGCGCCGUGAGGUCUGGCCUGAGCAGCCAGCUUCAGAAGCUCCUUCACCCGUGCAACUGCCUUCUUGCCGUCGAUCUUGUGCACCAUCUUCUUCAUUGCACCCUCAACUAUGCCAUGCUCGUUGAAGAUUGGCAGCACUUUGCAGCCGAUCACUACAGGGCCUGCAGGCUCGGCAAUAUGACCCAUCCUAAUGCCACCUCAGGGCUGAGACUCGUUGCUGCAACCCCAAACACCUCACUUUUAUCGCAUCCCCUGCACAUGGGCAGUGUUUAUAAGGAUUUAUUACAAGCGGAGGCAGGUCGAUUUAGUUAGGCAAUCAACGGCUGAGAUCAAACAAGUGGGAAAGAGCCAACGCUUGUGAUCGUAUCAGACAUGGGAUCCCAAGAGAUGGAUCAGUAUCAUCUAUCCUAUCAUUGUAGCAACAUGGUGGGCAAUGUCAUAAGCUAAGCUGGAAUUUGCCUUAGUUAAACAUCACAUGUGGAGAUAGAAUAAUAUCACAAUGGAUGUUCUGGCUGUAACAAGUAUAAGAAUCUUGAUUAGGUGCGUGCAGUUGCGGUCAAAGUUGAAUACUACUACUACAGGGCAGUAGCAUUUUAGAUCUCCUCAACCAACUUGCAUAUUUGUUUAGCAGUUUAAGCGAAAGGAUUAGAUAGAAGCUGUGUCAUCACACUAGCUACAUGCAUCUUUUGAUUAUUGAUUUAAAGGGAUCAAAGACAGAUGAGAUGAGAUAGAUUAAGCAAGCAAAUGAUAUGAGCAUGCAUGAUUAGUUGGAACGCUGUCCUUCGCGCUGCUUAGGUUGGCCAUGUGAUGCAUGCAGAGGAACGGUGCCCCUGGGCUGCGGCAUGUUACUGUGUACUGACAUACUGCAGGAGAAGGCUUAUUUUAUUGUUAUACUUCUGUACCGCUUGUCUCACUAGCUACUUUAUAUCGUAUUUGCUAUUUACCAUGCGUGGUGCAUGGAUAGCUCAGCUCCUAUUGAACCGAAAAGUGCACCGAUUGUUCACGGAUCGAGAAACAAGAGAGAUAUACCAAUCCAUGAUUUAUUCUAACAUUGAAAGUAUAUAUAUUACCAGAAGCAUUACCCGGACCUCAUCCGAGGAAAGUAGAAAACAAAAGAGAAAACCCUCUCUGAAAUAAAAUGUGUCAGACAUUUCAGUAGAACACGAAUUGCAUUGCCAAAUGCCAACCAGUCCAUCCAGGUGAGUUUCUCAUCAUAGAAACGCGGUGGCUCGUGAAGCUGAAGUUAUCUGGCCCAUUGUGAGCUACACAUGAAUCUAUUAUAAAUAGUUUUAGGUUGUGGAAAUGGCUUCCUGCUAGAUUUGAGUUAGUCAGAAAUGCAAACGAAUCCACAGAACAGGGACACUUGUCAUCACACGAGCUGAUGAGCAGCAUCAUGCCUGUGAUGUACUCUACCUAAUCUCCAUUGUCCGCGACAGAACACCAGAUCUUCUUAAGUCCCCCAAAAAGAAAAAGGAUAACAAGACAUGACUGAGCAUUUUCUCGACAUCUAGUUAUGGUAUCAACAUGUUGUGUGUUUGGCAUACCACAAUGUAAUGAUGGUUCAUGACCUAUCGGUCCAGUGGGCUCAGCUUGGCCAUUAAAAUGUUUCUUUAUGCCUUUUCCCUUGUCAUCUUCAUACCAAAAUAGUCAGUGUGUAUGUUUGUAGUUUGUUCCAGAAUAAUUAUAUCAUGCAAGUAGCUGCCAACAGGUGAUACGAUCCAUGUGCAGCAUAACCAUCUUGUCUACUUGGUUUGCCAUCUGCUUUUCCAUUUUGCAUCUGAACUUUGUAUGUGGCAUAGUGACGUGAAAAUUAGAACCAGAAACAAGUGCAACAAUGAUUUGAGUUUCUGGAUUGUUCACUUUUAUUUUUCUUAUUCUUUCAGCAUAGCCGUCAUAGUUUCCAAAAAUUUUCUGAAUCUUCUGAUUGCAAAAUAGAUUUAGCAUUUAGCUGCAUAUGCAAUGACCCCAUCCAAAUCUUGUUUGACUCCAUCAAGUAAAGAGUAACAUCAACAGCGACGGUACUGAGCUCUUUGUUGGUUAUAUGCAUAUUCCCAUGGUAUAAAAGGAGUUCAGAGAUGACAUUCAAAAAGGGAUGGAAGGUACCACGAAAGGACAGAUAAUAAGGGAUAUCAUGUUAAUCUUUGGAAUCUAGAAAUCAAUGAGAAAAUGAGCACAAUCUUUUUCCAACAAAUCAGAUAUUCUGAUAAUAGCAGAAUGGGCCUCUAAGGAAACCAAACUAGAUUAAUCCUUGUAAUGAAUGCUUAAACUUUCAUGAAACAAUUUGAAAAGAAUUCAACAACUCAGUAACAAUUUGCUGAGAGCAAACUUACUUCAAAUGAAGCCACCAAAAGUACCAACCAAUGAGCAGAGCCAUCAAAAAACUUAACGGUUUCCUUUCUCUUAUUAUGCAACCGAAGCUUCAAUCCGGAUUUCCCGGUUCUAAACGUAUUGAAAUGUUCCAUAAAGGGGAAUGGAUUUGCAUGCAUGGAACUUGAAACAAUAAUAACCACCAAAUUGAAUCACAUACAGAUGUAUUUACUACAGUAUCCUUUUUUUUAAAAUCAAGAAGUACAUCUUGGGCUGACUUUCAAUACUAUACAACCAAUUUAUAUGUUUACAGAAAAUUCUUAAAAUCUUAACACACCUGCCUACAGAUAUAUCUCAAAUGUCAACACUAUUCAGAGGCAUUUAGUAUUUUUGUGUACAAUAUAGCAAAGCCACAACCUCAAUUCAGAAAAUCUACAAUGGUCAGGUUCACGCUUCUUCAGCUUGCCGCAUGAGUUCCAGAAUGCUAGAAGAUUUUCUCUUUGCACGGUCCGUGCCAGACUCCGACAGUUCCUUGAGUGCAUCCUCCGCUCCAGCAGCUUUUGCAGCCCUCGUUUGCUCAACAUCAGCACAACAAAGCGACCACAGAAUGGCUGCAGCGUUCUCUCUGUUGCGAGGAGACCCUGUUUUAAUUACCUCUACAAGUGGGGGGAUCGGAUCCGACUGCGCAAUUACAGCCCUGGCUUCAGGGUUACCAGCAAGGAUAGCCAGAAGAGUGAGUGCCUCAUCAGUCAUUCCCCCGGUAGGAUCCACCAAGAAGUUCAUCAGAUGGAUGACGAUUCCAGCUUUGACUGCUCGGAUCUUAUUUCCCUGAUAUAUGCACAAAUUAAAAAUUGCUGUUGCUGCAUCUUUCUUGCCUCUUGGGCUCCCAUCGCACAGAAGAUUAAUGAGUGGAGGUAUUGCACCAGCACCACCAAUUGUAACCUUGUUUUCAUCGACAACUGACAAACUGAAUAGUGUGGCGGCUGCGUUCUCUCUGGCUUCCAUGCUCCCAGUUUUGAGCACCUCCACAAUCUUAGGGAUAGCAUGAGAGCCCACAAUGCUUGCCUUGUUGUUCUCAUGUAUGGAGAGGUUAAGGAGCGCUGUGACAGCAUGUUCCUGCGUUCUUGGAUCCGAAGAGGAGAGUAGAUUGACAAGCAAGGGAAUUGCUCCUGCUUCAGCAAUGCAUAUCCGGUUGUUGACAUUUCUCUUUGCAAGCAAACGGAUCUCACCAGCAGCAGCCCGCUGCUCAUCUUGGUUCCCACCCCUCAGCCUGGUCAUUAGCGAGACUAGACCAGCAUGGUCAUAAUCAGAGCUUUUUGCUGAUUUCUUAUCUCGGGAAUUUGCCUUGUUCUUCGGAAGCUCAAUGCCGUUGGCUUCACACCACUGAGCUAUUAGGCUUUUGAGGACGAAGUUUGGUGUCAGUGAGGUAUGUGAGAGAGGCUGUUGCGUCUUAGGGCACGUCUUGUGUCCAGAAUCAAGCCAUUUCUGGAUGCAUGAUCGCUCAUAUGUCUGAAAAGUGAAAAGUAGACAAGAAAAGUCUUAAUAACAAAACUGAUGUAUUUAAGGAGUAGAGCCGUAAUUCGAACUUUACACUGUGAAUGCCUACCUGUCCGCUGGAAACGAUGACAGGGUCUUGCAUGAGCUCAAGGGAUAUCGGGCAUCUGAAUUCAUCGGGGAUGAUUGGAGAUCUGUGCUUUAUGGAGGCAGACCUGGCGGUGAGUGUCUCUGGUGCGGGAGCUUUUUCAGUGAUGACACAAUCUUUGAGCUUCUUGAGCAAGGAAGACAUCUCCUCGACGCAGCCAUCAGGUUCUCCGCCACUGGAGAUGACCAUCUCGUGCAGGGCGACUGAUUCUUUCUUGAUAUCGGCCAUGGUCUGCAGUUGCAGCUUCUCUGAGAUCCUUGUGAAGACCAGAGGAUCAAAGGUCUUGUCAGCGAGAGCGGAGGAUAUAUCCUUUGAAAGCUGCGCGUCUGGUGGAUCCGUUCUGGUUGCAGCCCUUUUGAACUGAGAAUGCACAAGCGCGACCUGAAUGCACAGAGUAGAAAUCGGCGUUAUUAGUGAGUCAGGGCAUGAGGAAGGCAGGAAGGAAGGAAGAGGAGUUGGUCAGGCAGCCCACCUGCUCCUGCACUUCUUCAGGCAUGUCGAAGGUGUGGUAAGGCAAGGCAUCCAGGGCCAGCUGAAUCUGCCUGUUGACGCUUGCGAAGCGGUCGAGCAGGCCAUCCCCUCGCAUCGCCUGGUCCAUUCAAUCAUAGCAUAGCAUAGCAUAGGUUGAACUGAUGAUCACAAAAGCUGUAGUUUGGUUUCUCGAUAGACGAGACGAGCAAGGUACCUGGUAGAUCUUGCUGCCGUCGUGAACUGCGCGGAGGAGGUCGCGCGCUGCCCCAAGUGCGUCGGCGAGAGGCAAGGCGCCCUGGAGCUGCUGGAGGAGGGGCGCGAGGAGGCGGAUGCGGCGCGCGAGGUCGCCGCAGAGGCGGCGCAUGGGCCCGCGCGGCUCCGGGAGCGCGGCGAUCUCCGCCGCCACACGCGCAGGCAUGGCCUCUGCCGCAACAGCCACAGCCGUGGUGGGUGAUAGAUGGAGGGGCGGCGGUGCGGGAGCGAAAUGGAGAUCAGAUCCGAUGCAAUUGAAUUACGCCGCCGCCGCCGCCGCCGCCGCCGCCCUCACCAACCCAACGCAGGACGGACGCGUUCGACUUGUCUCUCCUCUCCAACUCUCCUCUCCUCAUUCGAGGAAGACAUCCAUCCCUCCCUCCGGACUCCGGAGACAAGGUCAACUUUGCGGCGUGUGUUUGUGUUUCUUUUUUUUUUACAAAAAGAUGCGUUGCUUUUUUAACACCAAUCUAAUAAUAGCGAAUUUCUAUAAAAUUAUGUGUGCGUACAUAUGAAAAAUCUAUUCAUAUGUAGCUACUCCUACAUAUGUAUCUCAUAAUGUAGGAUGUAUCCGAUCAAUGUACGAGGUGCAUGUGAUCGUACCACAUCAUCUUUAAUGGUAUAUAUGUUGGGUACGUGACCAUACAUAUGUGAAUAUGCUCAAUUUUAUAUACUAGUACUAAGGUAUAAUAAUAUAUAUUUAAAAAAUAGGGAUGCUUUUGAUAUUUUUCGUAUAUAUUCUUUGAAGUAUCUUAGAAUAAGUAUAUAAAUAUAUUCAAAGUGACAGAUGAUGAGAGUAGCUACACGCGAGUGCAGAUAAAAUUAUAUAUAUAUAUAUAUAUAUAUAAUUCAUUCUACACACACUUGUAGCUACUAUUUCAUGACGCUGACGCAGGACGUAUCUAACCCAAUGUAACAGAACAUCUAUGAUGGUAUACAUGUUGAGUAUAUAGGGAUCCCGAGUAUAUAACCAUAGACAUACUAAUUUUUAUAUAUUAGUAUUAAGGUAUAAUUAUAAUAUAUUUAAAAAAUAGGAGUGUUUUUUAAAAAUAAUUAUAUAUUUAAAAAAUAGGGGUGUUGUUAAAGAAUAGAAGUGUUUUUAAAAUUUUUUGUAUAUAUUCUUUUAAAGUAUCUUAGAAUUACGAAAUAUGUUAGAAUUAGUAUAUAAACAUACUCAAAGUGAUAAAACUCGUGGUAGUUUACUAUUUAGGAUACUCGUGGUGGAAAUACGCGAGUAUAUAUAUGGGUAUGGAAUAGCUAUUUCAUACCCCAGCCAAUACUAUCGAGAUACAGUACUUUCAAGCAAACGAACGGAAAGCAUAUCCCUGCACUUCUGCAGAGGAUAUAUGUGUUCAACCAAAGGAUAUCGUUUGGACAUUUCAACUUCAACCAACACCACCGAUUACAAGCGCGCCCAACACUUGUCAGUCAAACAGAUCAAAAUUUGGCUACUUCGUCUCCGAAUGGGGCUGCAUCUACACAUCAAAAACAGGUGUGCCACCAACUUGUCAGCCCCAGCGCGACUAAAUCAAGUCAUCAACAUCAAGGAAGAAGAGAAACAAACAACAGACAACGGCAUCCCCCCCCCCCCCCAAGCAUUUUUGCUAAAUCAAAUUGCUACCGUAUCUUGUCUCUCCACUGCAUCAUCCAAAAUCAAUUACCCAGCUUACUUGUCUAGUACCCUCCUCCUUUCUUCCCCUUGCUAUUGUAUACCAUCCAUUGUCUUGCUUGACAUGCUUCAUCAUCUUAUGUACAUCGCGACUUCAAAAGACAGACAAAUCCUGCUAGCUUAGUUACUCCGGCUCCGAUCUCUCUUUUUCCUGGGAUGAUGGCAGAGGAACAGCCUUAUACAGGUACGACGUCCCCUGGAAUAUGGUCAGGUGCGCCCCGUUAAGAUGAGCUUCCAGCUGCAACACAGAGAGGUCAAUCAGAAUUACAUCAUACAGCAUUCCGCCCUGACCAUCAAAUCACCACAAUGGCCGACUCGUAGCUGACCUCUUCUGGAGGGAUCCGGGAGAAGCCAAAUUUAUUCAUCCAUAUUCCUUCAGCUUCAUGGGCAGCUGGAAGCACAAAGUGCUUCACCUUCAGCGAGAUUAGCACCCUCUCUAUGCAUGAGAACAAUGCCUGGAAGUAGCCCUGCAUCAGAGUAAUGGGUCAAACUCAAUCCAACAAUAAAAACAACAACCAGGACGGCCAAGGAUCAAAAUCUAGUGCUGCUCAGCCAGCCCUUGAAUACCCACCAGCCCUUGAACAUCCCGACUUGUAGCAACCAGGGGUAGCUCGGCCACAUCACCUCCCAUGACACGCAAAAGUGCUGCUGACACCACAGUAGAGCUGCAGCAAGCAACUAGGAUUCAGUAUUGUUUUCUCAAAUAACUAGGAUGACUACCAUUGGAUGCAAGGCAAAAUUUUCAAUUUCCUGAAACAACUCUUACCCCACGGUCAACAAUGCACAGUACAUUCCGCUGUAAUCUUGGCCAGCCAUUCCCUCCUUAGGCCCCCUCCUGGUAGAUUUAAACGAGGAGAUGAGAAUCUUAACAGAGGCGGUUACAUACCUCUAAAGCAAAUAGCUGUUUGGUUAUCUUACCCAUGAACCAUCUCAGGAAUGAGAUCUCUACAUGUGUGAGCUUCAACAAUUGGAUCGAAAGAUUGCUGCAAGACAACACUUAUUGAGAAACCAAAGACUCGAUGCUAAGAAGUCUUAAUGCCCCUCCACUAUAAUACCAUGCUUGCAACUAAAUUUCUGAACUUGCAUAUGAUCAGGCUUUUUUUUUAAUGUUUGGUGUACAGAUCAUAAGGCCACUGUUACAUUUCUCUGGCCCACACACCCGUAACCAGUGUGAACAAAACUGUAUCCAAAUCCAGCCAUAAUUUCUUAGCAGCAGAGCGAACCUUCGCUACUUUAGAAAAUACCCCCCGCCCCCCCCCCCCCCAAAAAAAAAAUCCAGAAGCCCACUGUUUGACAUUAAAAUGGUAUCAAAGUAGAACAAAAGGAAAACUCAGCAAAAGCUGGCAAGCUCAGUAGUAACACGGGGCAAACACAGUUCUGCUAUUGAUGAACUAGUUUUUCCAAAUUUAUUAUGAUAUAGUGCAUCCACCCAAUAUAAGAACAAAUUACCAUCAGAUGGCCAUAUGAAAAGGCAUUAAAAGGGGGAAACAAAACAAAGAUACUUAAAACAGAAAAUUAUGCAUAAGAUGAACGAAUUAGAUCAAAGAAUACAGGACCUACAUGAAAAAUCGGCACUGCAGCUGAGAGCAAUAUCCUUCCAUCUUCAGUAGCUCUUUUACCAGAAAGCAAUUGCCAUUUGAGAUCUGUACUGGUAUCCAUGCAUAAACCUCUAAUCUCAUGUUUCAUCCUUAUGAUUUCAAUAUCUGGCUCCGCCAACGGUUGAGCUCCAUCGGAGAUUAUCUUUUCCAAUGAAAGUCGUGUCCCAGAGCAACUACCGCAACAGAACCACUCCCCCUCUGGCAAUUCCUGUAGAAAAAGAAAAUGCAUUGUAUUGUGUUAGCAUUCGCCCGGGCAAAAGACAUCAUUCUUCAUCUGAAGUGAGUAUAUCAUGCAAAUCAAACUUGAUGGAAUAAUAACAGAUUUCGAUCAAAUAAUAAAUGUUGUUCUGCACUAACCUUUAGUUCUACCUGCCAUUGACUCUGCAAACAUCCUACAUGAUAUUCUUUCUCACACUGAGCAGCACAAAACAGAAGUAUGUCAGCCAAGUAUAACAGUAAACUUGCACGUGUAUAUUGCACUUUAGCCUAGUGCUAAAAACUAAGAGGAAAUUGAACCAACUGAAGAGUAUUUGGAUUAUAGAUUACGAUGUACAAGCAGAAAUAUCUAGCCAUCACAGAAAUAGCAUACUUGGUCACAGAGUAUCACAGUGCGCUCAUCAAAUACAGCAUUAUUGAAGUCUUUCUUUCUGCAAAGAGAAAUUUUGAGUAAGAAUGCUGCAAGAAUGGAGUUUGCGAAUGCAACAAGCAUGAAGAAAAGUGCACAGCAAGCAGUUCUGGAGGCUAGCCUACUGAUAACAACAUACGUUAAAAAACACUAUGACAUAUUUCAUUGUUCUAAGAGAUAAGUGUUGGACCAAGGAUAAAGGCCCCCACCCCUCCCACUAUAACACCUGGGUUUUAUGGUCGGGUUGGCUAGGUGGGACGUUCUAACUUGGUACCAGAGCCGAGGUCCUGGGUUCGAUCCCUCCCGGCCACGCAUUUCCGCUGCGCGAUUUCCCCUGCGUCUCUCGUGUGCUGAGACCUGCUGCGGGCUACGCCGGGCUCGCACGCCGUAGGGGGAAUGUUGGACCAAGGAUAAAGGCCCCCACCCCUCCCACUAUAACACCUAGGUUUUAUGGUCGGGUUGGCUAGGUGGGACGUUCUAACUAUAAGUGCAAAGAAUGCCUACGCUCCAGCCACCACACCAUCCUGCCUAAAAAAUACCUAGCUAACCCAGAUAGCUAUAGGUGCUAGGUACCGCUGUAUCAGCAGCUUAGAGACAUAGGCCUGGACAACUGGUAGUUCGGUUUCAUCAGUUCACUGUAUUCAGUGUAUGGAUAAUUUUGGUGCUCAGAAACUAGGAACUGAAGCUCCUGUAAGGCCGUAAAGAACACCAAAACCGACAACUUCAGUUUUCAGUUUUGUAGGUUCGGUUUUCUGUUUUCAAGCAAAGUGCAGAAAGCGAGUGGAAACAUCAUACAAAGGCUUUCAUCAUUUUCCCACAUCAACAAGUCAGCACAAAGAUACUAAAGUCAGUGCUCAUUGAUUCAAAUCACUACGUACCAGCACUAGCAGUUAUUCAAAUCAAGAAUAUGAGCAAACAUGAGAACCAGCUAUAACAAACAGCACUCAGUACUCACUUGCAUAGAGCACAGCCUCCAAGAUCAUCAGACAUGGGGACAAUUCGUAUAGCCCUCUUCAUUAUCUGUUCAAUGGAAUCAACUCCAGCUUGCCUCCCAGCAGCUUUAGCGUUUUUGUUCUCUGCCAAAGCCUUUUCUUUUUGUACAAGAUUCCUGCAAUUAUCACAAUACCAUUCUGAGGGGGCUUCAGGCAGUCCGACGCAAGCUGCAAUUGGUACAAGUGAUCUGGCUGUUAACACUUUACAGAUAAAUAAAUAAACAAGACCGUUCUGAAAUUUUCGUUGUAAUUAAUUUCAAGGACUUGCAAAACUACCUGGAUGAAAUGACCUUGGACAAAUUUUGCAUGGGAAAAUAUCUCCCCCAUGACCGCAUUCUCUGCAAAGAUCAUCCGUUUCGCGUUCUGACCGUUCCAUAUCCUUUGAUAUUUUCAUUGCCAGCUCAUGCAAUGAUACUCCAUUAGAUGUGAAGAUGUUAUCAUACCUGACAGCAUGUAACACAGUAAGGACGACCCAUGAUAGUGUUGGCAUAAGUUAAACAGGAGAACGUAAAUGCUUACGGCUUGCGCCUUGAUCCCUCACCCGCAUGAGCUUCGAAUGCUGAUGGGCUAACCUGAAUAUAUCACACAAAAAAGAUGAAUUGUUUCAUAACAUAUAUGAUGAACCUGAAGAAAUAGCUUGGAUGAGAGAAGAGUCAGACCACUCUGUUGCAGUGAUUACAGUAGAUUCUUUGAUCCUUGAUAUACCCAUCAACCUUUCUCUGCAUUAUACAAUGCAAAGUAUAAACCAAAGAAAAUACAAGAUGAAUUGAACAAAAUCAGGAGAUAGCUCUUGGCCUAACAACCUGCCCAUCAACAUAGUAAGCUACUUCUGUGCCAUCAAGCAAGACAUUAAAGACCAAUUUGUGUAGUCCAUUAUCCCUGAAGAGAGUACCCAACCAAUACCAAUGAGCUCGUGCACACAUAAUAGAGAAGGUAAGAUAACACACUUAUAGUGUACCAACUUGUUUGUUACUUUGCCAGCACUUCCACCCUUCUUGCUUGAUGAUAUCUUCUUUAGAAAAGCCACCUUGGAACUUGCAGUCAGGCUACAGCCCCCCAAAAGAAAAAGGUAAGGAGCUAAGAUCUAAAUAUGAGAACCUAAAGAUGAUUUUAAAAAAAAGCAAAAAUUUUGCAAUCAGAACUCAACAAAACUACGACCUAGACAGAACAACCAAAAGUAGCAUCUAACCAUAUCAGGCAGAUAUCGCUGUGACAAAAUUAAUUAUCUAACCAGUGGUGAGGCCAUAGUUAAUUGGGCACAAGAGAUGAUGUAGCACAUUAUUUACUCAAACUGCUUACCUGGAAUUGCUCUUACAUGGAUAUGAUGGGGUGGUAUAAUCUUGAGUUUGCUUUGACUCGAGGCAACGUUGACACAAUACAUGUUCAGUUUGUGAUGAUGGAAGAACAUGCUCUGCAGCAUUAGAAGAUUAGUCAAAUGUACAUAGAGAAUUUGUGCUUAAAAAAAAUGCUCUAACAUGAAGUCCUUACCGUUGCAAUUCAGGCAAUUAACAUGGCUCCCCUUAACCACUGGACCAAUAGAGGAACGAAUUGUUUUUUCCAGAGCCUCCAAGGGAGAUCUUUCUGAUGCACGCAGCACAUCGCGCAAACUAUUGCCAUUACCUAAGUAAAUGUAGUCAGCAGGGUGUUUUUUUGUGCUUCCAGCAUGUUGUUCGAAGUAAUAAGCCGAAACAGCCUGUAAAAAAACGGAGAAUGGCAUAAUGUAAACAGUCUGUGUCCUUUAAUGGUUUGUAGACUAGGGAACACCAACCUUGGAGCCAUUACAGGACGGACAAAAGCAACGUAUAUUGCAACCAGUAAUCACUCCUUUUAGCACAGCCUUCUGCAACUUGCAAACAGAACCUAAGUUAAUUGCAUGAGAUACAAAAAUAAGAUAGGCCACAAUCCAGAGUAAUCUGUCAUCAAAGCAAGUUCAAUUCUUCCUAUUUUUCUUAGGAAGAUAACACAAUACUCCCUGAAAGCAGCCUUUGCGGUGAUAGAUAACAGAACUAGUCCUCAAACUGCAUUCAUUUUGUCAUGAUCCAUGGUUUAAGGUCUAGCGAAUGCAAAUACUCAUACUGCCUAAACAAAGGAAAACUCUAUCUAAAUAUUACUAGACUAUGCUAAUCAAUCAAAAGAGUGAAUCACAUGAAUCUGUGAGCGAUUAACAUGGCAGUAACCACAGAUUUAAAAGAACUGCUCAAAAAACAUUACAGCUGAUUCUCGCAUACCUUGCUAUGAGGAAUGAUGUACAUAACUGGCAUUCCCUCAAGCAGGCCGGUGUUGAGCAGCUCCCUAAUGUUUCCAGGGUGCUUUGUGAGGCAGGCAACUUUCUUUGACAUCUUCAUCUCCAUCUUCUUCACUGACGGAGGGGAAUCGGAUGCACUGUCAUGCGCAUCAUCAGAUCCAACCAAACUGCUCUCAACCUUUGUCUUGAGCAGCGACCUUGUGAACCUUCUUUGAGACUUCUCCAGCAGCAAAGCCAAAUCAAAUGAGGCCUCCUUGCUGCCAUCUGGUGUCGCCUGACUUCCACUAGCUGCAGAGUCUUCUUUCUCUGGUUUAUUCUUGAGCAGGGAUCGAGUGAAGCGCCUUGCAGGCUUGAGCUCGGCGGCAGGCAAUGGUGUGGUAGUGUCUUCAACUAGCAGAGCAGCGGGGGCUAAUGCAUUGUCCGCGGCCUGCAGCUGUAGACUUCCUCCAUCUGAGUUAGAGCUAUUACACUGGUCGUUUCCAGCUGCAGAGGUGGAUUCCGGCAGAGUUGGUGCUGCAUACAGCGCAGCAGCACAUUCCUCCAUGGGCACAUUCGGCUUUGCAAUCAGCGAGUCCUCAGCCUCAGCGUGCGAUGGUUGUGGGGCUUCUAGCAUCUUUUGUGCAAUGACCUCUUGGGCGGCAUUGGAAUUGGACUGAUGAUCAGCGGCGGUGGGAGGAUUGGAUCCAUCGACCGGUUCGAUGAUGUCGCGAAGGGGCUGGGUGGGCGGCUCGGCGUCGAUGGGCGGCGUGGGCGGGGAGACGAGAUCUACGGCGGCGGCGGCGGCGGCGGCGGGUGGUGGAUCGGAUCUCUUGCGCCGCUUGAGAGAUGCUGAUGCUGAUGGGUCAGGAAGGGAAGAGAUGGGGCGGCCGGAGCGCGUGCGGCCGGGGGAGGCGGAGAUCUCGGAGAGGGACCGAAGCGCGAACGCGAGCUCGCGCUUCAUGGCCCGCGGCGGCGGCGGGGAUGAGGCACAGGUGUUGCCACCUGAGGAGGAGGACGCAGGCAUCGGAUGAGAUCGGAGAGGGAUUAUGGCCAGCGAGACGAACUACGAUUCCAUGUCUGGAUGGCUGCUUGCUAGGGUUUGGAGCACGGGGGAGGGGAGGGAGGGGAGGGGAGGGGAGGGAUCGGAGAAGAAGACGAUGAGGCAAACCAAUUAAUCGCGUCGCCGUAUUUACCUUUCUUAAUUAAUUCUUUCUAUUUUAUUUACUUGGUGGUCCCUCCUCUCUCGCCACCGUUACUUUUCUCACUAUAAUAAAUCAAUGACGAUGACUUCUUUGGUUUGUGCGCGAAAAUUGUUGUUUUGUAUUAUUUGUGUUAUUUAAAAAUUAGGCCUUUUCGCCUUCUUUUCUGCAAACUAGUCAAACAUACUUCUUGUUCGAUUACUAAUUUUCAUCAUUAGCCUUUAGAAAAAUGAAGUUCUUUAGGUGUGGACGUGGAGCAUUACUUUCACUAUUUUGUUGUUACAAAAUAUAUUUGUAGAAAGCAAAAAAAUCAAAUUAGUCAUUCCGGUAAUCCCUUAAACUAUUUUUUUAUUCAAAGUGUUCCUACAAUUAUGUCAAUUAGUCUAAUUUACCCUUAACAUGAUUCAUCAUUUUUGUUUAAUUAUGCACAAGUAGUGUUUUUCGUAGACUAGUUUUAUGCCCAUGCUUUGCCAUGGGAUCGUUUUUUAAUACAGUAAUAAAAGUGCGAAAAAAUAUAUUAUUUUAAGGUUACAAGAUGAAAUGAAGCACGAGAAAAGAAGCAUAAGAACAAAAGUAUAGCUGCAUCCAAUGAAAGGAAGGGAAUAAGCAUAUGCAAAACAAAGGCUUCCCAAAUAAAAAACUAAACAUGCUAGCGGAUUAUAUUUGAUGUGUAAAAAGAAUAGCACUACAAUUUUAUGAUGCAAUGAAACUCCAUUUAGAAGCACAGGCACAGAUCAAACAAGAAAAUGAGAUUUUAUACGGAAUCAUAUUUUACCUGUCGGAAUAAGACGGUAGGAUUGUGAUAUACCUUUAAAAUUAUAAUUAUAUAUAACUUUGCAAUAUUUCUGAAAAAUAUAAUUAUAGUAACAUAUUGCUUUUGAAUAAUCGAGAGAGGUUCUGACUCUUGGGACUCUAUGUGGAUCAGCCUAAGGGGAGCAAAGAGCCAACUUUAUGGGUCAAAAGGGGUUAUCGAUUGUGAGCGCCCACAUAUUUUGUGCAUGUCUAGAAAAUAGUUACUAUUUAUAAUUGAAAAAACACUAUUUAUAUAAUAUCAAUUUGUGACUAUAAAUCUAAAAUAAAACAUAUACAUAUCAAAUUAUGUUUGUAAUUUAUAUAGCAUACUUAUUAUUUGUGUUGGAAGGUUAAUUGCGGGCGAAUGCCAAUGAGAUUCGGCUUUGGUGUCCUUUGUUAUUUUUACUUCCUGUUUUGCUAGGUGUUCCCUAAGAUGCAGGGUAAUAAUGGAAACGCGUGUACAUAAGGGAGGGCAUGUACAUUAGUCUAAUCUAAGUGGCGGUCUCAUGCAUCGUCACGUUAUCUUUAGAUGAUGUAACAAAAUGGGUUGUUUUAUAAGUUGUCUCAUAGUAAAUACAUAAUUCUAUAAUUUUUGCAUAGAAAAAGAAAAUAUUGUGAGUUGCAUGGCAGCAACAGCUCAUACAAUGGUGAGAAAAUGGUUUUAUAGUCCUAAAUUUUAGUCUACGAGACAGUUGUUUCGCAAAACAACCACCUUAUUCUCUCCUCACUCUCUGUCCGCCACCUAAUCAAAAAUCCUACGUGAACUUGUAUGAGACGAUCUAUGACACCGCUGAUGUGUAGCAAUGUACUUGCCCUAAGUGGUGGCACAAAUAGAUAAUGGAUGGUUGUCUUUUAAUUUUAUCUUGCCUGAUUUUUAAAUUUGUUCGUGAGUUAUAUUUCUCUCUCUUUGUUAUAUUUCUAUCUCUUUUCUCACCACGGGUCCAGGGACCUGAGGUCCCAAUGGACCCUAAACCCUAAAACUACCUCUCGCUGAUAUUCAGACUAGCCUAAAUAUAGCACCCAGAACGAAUGCCCACCUUCGCGGGCCGCGGCUUCGUUCAGGCUAUCCAGGCUCAUGAUCCCAACCAACCGGCCGGUUGGAAAAAGUAUGGCUCACGUCCCCGACUUAGAAGACGAUUGGGGACUGUGUCCCUACCAUAGCUCCAACUAAGGUCCCCUGACCAGGCUUCGCCUUAUGCGUGUCGCUAUCCCCAACCGGCGAGGCCGAGGACAGCCAGACCCUGCGUACUAGCUGGCCCCGGGAGCAGGUGUGACGGAUAAAGAUGCACACCGGAGUCAACUUGCUAUACAGACCAACCACUCCCCCCACAGAGGUUGCCGUGCCCCUCGCUGCCAAAGCGAAGAGGCACUGUUUCACCUGACCGUCCUUAUGAGUGGACGGGACACAACGACAUCAUCACGAUGCGGCGGGCACGCCUCUACCAUGGCGGAAUGACGGAGUGUAAUAUUGAGGAUAGAGCGUGACUGCCAUACCGCGCUUAUUAGCGCAGGUCUCCUCCUCCGACUGGCAAAGUACGACACAAGGGGCAGAACGAGAUGGCCACUCCGGGACAGGACAUGGACAGUGGCCGUCCGAAGACUCCGACUGACUGGGUUGAUGACCCCGAUCGACGGGGCAAGGAACUCUCUCUUUCUCUCUCCUUCUCUGCACUUAGUUCCCUGUAAGGAGGACCCCUUGACUAUAAAACGAAGGAUCAGCCGUCUAGAAAAGGGGACCGGACCGAAAUCCAAGAGAUUCAUCCUCCACUCGAAAGUUUGUAACUCUCCAACCCUCACGAGCAGCUGGACUCAAUCAAUAUAUCCGACUGACCCCCGACUGGACGUAGCACGUUUGCCUGAAGCAGUAUAAAUCUUAAAUCAUUGUGUGCUAGGUCAUCUCCGAUCAUAAUACAUGAUACACAUUUCAAGUAGGUUUAGCUGCCGGCCAUUUUCGGAAUCGACGUGACCGUUUCAAUUCUUAUAAGUAUGAUGCACCAAAAUUUAUUAUUGUCUAGUGCAGUAUGUAUGGUAUCAUCAACUAAUUAUCCUUUUAAAAAAUGAGCACUAUCUAAUAACACCACGGCCGCGUACGCAUAAUGGAACCUACACAUUUUGAAUAAUAUGUUAGCAAUUUUUUUUAAAACUGUAGUGCUCCCUAUGUUUCCACUAUAAAUUAUUUUAGAAAUUCUAUGCAUAUUAGAGAUAUAAUAACUAUAUUUGCCUCUAUUUAUUACCUAUAUUUAGCUUUAAUUGAUUUUUCUAUGCACACCUAUUUUCAAAAUAGGGUAAAAUGUAAUUUACUUUUUAGAUAAAUUUUGAAAAAAUUCUAGAACUAGGAGUAUAGCUUUGCGAGAACAGAACAAUGUUGAUUGGUUCGAGAGAGUUCCCGAUGAACCCAAAAUUGCUUGAGAGUAGACCGAGUAGCCCAGUCCACGCCGGGACCCACAGGCAGACACGUACGAUAUCGAAAUAAAAUAUCCGAGGACUCGGUGAUGAAGUGGUGAACAAACAAAAAGACGAUUUGCUUGCUUGCUCUUCUUGGUUUCGUUCCAAGGUUUGGAAGAGUUGCCGAGUAGGGGUGGGGGAGGGGUGUUUUCUUCAAUUUUUCCCCAACAAUCUCACCCAUCCCAUCCCAUCCCAUCCCAUCCAACCUAGUAGUAGUAGCCAGUAGGGUAGCAGUAGCAAUAAGAGCUCGAGGGAGGAAGAGGGGAUUGAGGAGGUGAGAUCGGAUUGAUUCCCAUCGAUCGAUCGGAUUCCAUCGGAUCCCACCAAACCCUAAAGGAAAUCCAUCCAUGUCGUCCUCGUCGUCCUCCCCAGCGGCGCUGCGCUAUUACUGCCACCAGUGCGACCGCACCGUCUCCAUCUCCCCGCCCGCCUCCCCGGACGACGACGUCCUCUGCCCCCGCUGCGGCGGCGGUUUCGUCGAGGAGCUUCACCCAGGUGACAGCCCCGCCGCCCCCGCAGCCUUCUUCCCCCCGCCGCCCUCCUUCGAUCUCCGCCACCCCGGCGACCUCUCCGCCUUCUUCGGCCCGCCCUCCCCGGAGCCGCCCGUCCCGGGCCUCUUCGACCCCUCCAACUUCCUCCACGACCAUUUCGGCGGCCUCCUCUCCGGCGGCGCCACCAUCCAGAUCGUCCUCGAGGGCGGGAGCGCCGCGCCCCUCCUCGCCCCGGGCGUCAGCCUCGCGGACUACUUCAUGGGACCCUCGGGCCUCGAGCAGCUCAUCCAGCAGCUCGCCGAGAACGACCCCAACCGCUACGGCACCCCGCCCGCCGCCAAGUCCGCCGUCGCCGCGCUCCCCGACGUCGCCGUCUCCGCCGACAUGAUGCAGGCCGACGGGGGCGCGCAGUGCGCCGUCUGCAUGGACGACUUCCACCUAGGGGCCGCCGCCAAGCAGCUCCCCUGCAAGCACGUCUUCCACAAGGACUGCAUCCUCCCGUGGCUCGAUCUCCACAGUUCCUGCCCCGUCUGCCGCUUCGAGCUGCCAACCGACGACCCGGACUACCACCAGCAGCAGCGCGCGUCGUCUGCCCUCGCCCUCGCCCCCGCACCCGCCCCCGCUCCCGCUGCCUCCUCCCCCAGGGUGGCCGAGAGGAGGUUCAGGAUAUCGCUGCCUUGGCCUCUCAGGGCCGCCUUCGGUGCUGCUGCCCAGGCCGAGUCCAGCAAUCCUACCAAUGAUGACGUGCCUCCUUCUGGUGCCAACAAUAACGACCAUGGUGCAAGCGGCGGCAGUCCUCAAACUCAAAGCGGAUAUGAUGAUCUCGACUGAGGCCUCAAAGUCUUCUGGUAAAGACCCGUUCUGCAAAACAAAGAGGUAAACCUACAUUUUUAAGUAACUACUAUUAUGUCCGUUGCUUGCUUCCUGUAACACGAUUGGUGUUGCCCCAUUCCUAGUCCUGGAAUCAGGAAGCAAUAUGUACUAUUGUGUUUGAUUAUGUUUAGCGGUUACUGGCGAUUACUUGUAACUGCACUCUGUUCUUCUAUGCCAUUGUUUUCCUAUUUUUACCAAACCUUAGCGUGGGUAAUUUCUCCCGGUCCCGGCAUUCUAUAUUUGGUGAGUACCAGCAUGGAUGGUAGUCGGAGUCUAGAGUAACUGAUGGCCAGCACACAUGGGAUGGAACCAGUUUUAGUAACCGAUGGCCAGUACACAACUGCUGAUGGACCCUCUGUCGGGAAAAUGGUUUACUAAGCAGUCAGACAGCUUACAUUUUUUUUCCUUCACGUUUACCAGUGCCUAUGGACGUUCUGUUUUACCUCACUUAGUUUGAUUCAAUGUUCAUACUCAAUUGAGGUAUAUAGUUUUGUUAAAAAGAAGUGCAUUGCAGUGCUUGAUUUGAAAGGAGUUGCACCCUGCAAGCUGCAGUAGGCUGCAAUUUAUUGACCGCUAUACUUAUAUCAUAGGUUAAUGUCUUAUGAUGUCAUGCCGUAGAUAUUAAAAACAUAUCCUCCUUUUGGUCUGGUAAUUCUGUAUGGCUUGAUGUUGUAACUAGGUCAAAAUGAAUGGUAAUCUCCUUUGUACACCUAGCUAAAUGCGGACCAAAAGGUGGAGUCAUUUAGGAAGUGUACACCCUGCCAAGUGCUUACCCUUGGGUAUUUUCUCAAGGUUGAGUUUACCCUGGCUCUUGUUAUGUUUCGGGAGCAUUACUCGAAGUGAUGCUUUAUCUAGUCUUUUUUUUAGCUUAGCAUCAUGUCAUGGUCUUGUUUUUCCUUUUCAGUUAUAAUUAAAUUUUAGUGCUUCACCGUGUGUACUAGUUUUACCAUGGCAGCUACCUUAUAAAAUGACAGUUAACUUAAAAGAGUAAUAGCUAUUAAGGAACAUUAGAAUUUCAUCAUUAACUACAAAGAAUUUUGUAUUUUAGAAAGAAAUAUAGAAUUAAAGCCUUAGCCUGCUUGUUCAAGCACCAAGCAGUUGUGCUAUUUAUUUUCCUUUAAGAUUAAAGUCUGUAGGCAUCUAUAGCUGUUACUUUUUUUCAUGUGGGUUCCUUUGCUUUUUAUCAAGCUUGGGACUUUGUAUUGCAUCAGUUAGUUAAUUCCAUCAGUAAACAGUGUCUUGGAGAACCAGUUAGUUUCAAUGUCACAUUCACUUGUAGGAGUUCUUUUUAUGGAUGGGAGGAACAUGGAAAAUUCCAUCAGUAAACAGUGUCUUGGAGACCCUGUUAGUUUCAAUGUCACAUUCACUUGUGCUCCAUCCGUCCCAAAUUACAAUUCAUUUUGACUUUUUUAGAUACAUAAUUUUUGCUAUGUAUCUAGAAAAGCCAAAACGAAUUGUAAUUUGGGAUGGAGGUAGUAGUUCUUUUAUGGAUGGGAGGAGCAUGGAGUGAACUGAUUUUUUUUGUAGUGAACUUUAAAAUUUGCCUACCAUGAUUUCUUCACAUUAGAUGUUCAAUGCUGUCUAAUUUUUGUGGAUUGUAGAUAUUUUCAAAUGGUCAUUUGCAAUUUCUGGGUGGUACAUAGAUGGAUGCCUUACUGAUUGGCAGGUGGUUUCUAUUUCAGGGCAAGAUAACGAUGCUUGGUAGGGGACAUACGAUGCAACAAAAAAGACCGGUGCGGUACUGUAACCUGUUUGCCUUAAUGAAGAGAAGGCUUUUGCUUGAUUUCUCAUUGGUACCUGGAUGUAAAGAAUAGAAAGAUGGAAUUUUGGUACUUUGGAUGUUGGUGUAGGGAUUAUUUUUUUUCCUCUUAGGGUGGUUAGGAGCAUGACUACCUUUUCGCUGCCGUAGAUGGAGGAUAAAAAAGGAAAAAAAAUGGAUGAUCAAAGUUGCAUUCUGUUUGGUUCUCGACUUGACUAGUGUAUAAACAGGAUUUCUAAGGGCAACACAGUAUGCCAUGGGGAUAAGGUCAUUCUGUUGUAAUGAUGCUGAUUUUGCUGUGAGAUUAUGUUUGAGCAAAGAUCAUGUUAUACCAUACUUAUUCCUUAAUUUCUAGUGCAAAUCCAAUAAAGGCAAAGAAUGAUCGGAUUCUUGUUCUCCACCUCGAGUCCUCGAUUAAGAAAAAAAACCCAUGUUGCCAUGUUGGGGGAGGGUGGUGUACAGAGAGUAUAGGCUAUGUUUGGUUGCUUGGCUAGUAAGUCCCUUCCUAGUAUCCACACUGACAUGAGAGUGGUCUUCUCUCUCUCCCCCCUCUUUCAUUCUCCUCUGUUUCUUGCCUGCCUUUCUUUCUCUUGGCAUCGAAUGUGGACGGUGUGGCGUGCACAUGGCAAUAGGGCAGAAUAAGGACGGUCUCGACGAUAGGUACGAGCCAUGAGGCCGGAGGCCGGAUGCACGGCGGAUUAAUCGAGCCUUUAGAAUCGAUCAGAAGUUGAAACAAACACGAUCACGAUAUUGGCAGUUGCAUCUCGCGUCAAGGAAUAAGUAUUGUGCCCUCUCAUUUUGGUGUGAAGUUACGAUGGGUUAUUGACGAUGCUAAUAAUUAUCAGGGACAUGGGUUUGCUGAAGCACUUAAAUCUUAAAUAACUAGUUUUACAAGAAUCACCGUUAAAGUUUCAACACAAAGAGAUAGAGUAUGGCAUUAGGUUUUCGAUAAACGCAUCCCACCGAAACCAAAAAUCUUGCUGCAUGCAGAUAGCCAGUAGCCUUCCAAAACCAAAAUAUUGUUUUCAGAUCUUGGAAAAUGCAAAGUCUGGACCUCCAGUGUCUGCAGAUAUUUCGGAUGCUCACGUGCUGCCAAUGGGAAGAAAACGAAGUAGCACCAUUCGUUGGUAGCGUUGGAUUCUUCCAGCACGACACGUCUUGUUGCUCCUAUCUUUUCCCUUUGAGUGCAUCACGGUAGCUUGAUUUCUUUCUAUUUCUUUAAUACGGAAAUAUUUUUUUUUUGAAAAUAGUAGACUACCCUACUUAGGACCCCUUUGGCAAGGCUCCACGAGCGGCUCCAAAACCGGCUCUAGCCGGAGCCCCGCCAAACGGGAUGAAGACACUCUCUGGAUCACUUUGGGGGAGGCGGAGCCGGAAAACGUGGCUCUGUCCGACUCCGUCUCACCCUUUGCCAACCCUGACCCUAGGUGCCCGCGGCAGCACAGCAGCGAGAGAAGGGUGGCGGUCGGGGUGGGCGAAGGGCGGGUGCGGAGGGCCGGAGCGCCGAGUCAGGGCAGGGCAGUGGCCGUGGCAGCUCUCUCUCUCACCAAAAUCUAGCGGCGGCGGCAUAAAUCCCCUCCGGCGGCCGGCGGCUUCGGCGCGUAGGGAGGCCACUCCGAGCGGCGAAAUCGACGGAUCCACUCAGGAGGAGGCUGAUGCCGGGCGGGGCGCGGCGGCGGGUCUGAGCGCGUCGGGGCAGGGCGUGGCUGCCGAGCUUGGCACGGCGGCCGGCUUGGGUGCGCCGGCCUGGCAAGGCACGACAGCCUCACAAGGCAUGGCAUGGCGGCAGGGCUAGGUGUGACGGAGUGGCUCGCUAGCGUGCUGGCAGCACAUACGGCGCCGGCUUCGACAUCUACCGGGAACCAGACAACGGUAGCAGAAGAACAUGCCGAAGAAACUGUUGCACUUCAAGGAGCCACCGAUGCGGGGGACGCGGUGGCCAUGCUCCUAGGCCGCAGGCGCCGGCUCGUGCUGCCCCUGCAAGCGUGGAUGUUGACCUUACCAAUCCAAUAUAAGAAUACUUCUCUUGCUACCAAAUUCCUGGAUAAUAUUGCAGUGUCUAGCAUAGUUGAUUUAAAAUCGAAUGUCUAGCAUAGUUGAUUUAAAAUGGAAUGGACAAUAUACCUGAGUUGAAAUGGAACAUGUAGCUACUUGAUGUUUUGUACUUAUGGUACUUGUCGGAGGAUUUCUCCAGCCGGGUGGCGGAAUGCAUCUGCCUAAUCCUAGUUUAGGAUGAGUUUGGGAGAAGCCAAGAAAUGCUAGAUCAACAGGCGUAUGAACACGAAAAGCACACAAGGAUUUAGAGUGGUUCAGGCGGCCGGAGUGUAAAAUCCUACGUCCACUGUGAGAUGUAUUGCCUGAGCUUGUGAAUCUUGUGUGUUCGUGGAACUUGUGUGUGUGAAGACCUUAGAGCCUCUGGGACUUCUGUUCUAACGUGCGCGUUCUCCCUUUUAUAGGCUCAAGGGGAGCGCGUACACUAAGCGGGGUCCCGACAAGUGGAUCCGGCAACAUACGUACACAUUGAAGCCUUUAAUGCCUCAGAUCUGGAGAUCGUCCUCAUCAGCCUCCGUGUAUGUCCUCCGUCUGGAUUUGGUCUUGUGCCGUCCUGUCAGCAUAGUGGGGGUCGUGCUGUCGCUGUAGAGUCAGCUCCUACUGACAGGCGAGAGGGCUACACUGACCUGCCGUGCUGUAGCCUUUGCUGUGCACACCGUGGUCUUCCUAUAGCAGGUCAUAAUAACUCCUUGCUCACGCGCGCGGCGCUGUGAUGUGACUAUUUGUCCCUCGCCCAUGCACGCGGUGCGGUGACAUGACGCGCCGCCUCGGUAACUGGUGGGCUACCGUGAUGUCGGCCAUACCUGCCCGCCGUGUCAGAGGGCAGCCCAUACCCUAUCUCAGGCACUCUCACCCCAACCACUCGCAUUUAAUAUGGUAGUUGGGUUGCCUUCUCGCAGAAGACUGGAACCCUCCGACACGUGGCGGCGCUGGUUUAGCAGGCGCUCCCGCAGGGACACGUGGCAGCACCGGACCUCCUCCCCAGAGGGAUAGGAGGUCCGGGCCCCCUAGCAGGCCCAGACGCUCAGGCCCCCUGGGGGUCCGACUUCUUCACGUGGGGGCCCAGGACCAUCCCGCGGUGGUCCGACCUCAUGACAGCCGUUCCUGAGCACAUUGUCCUUGCGGGCAGGCGGAGGCACCGGACCUGCUAGUGCUUGGAGGGAGGUCCGGCGACCGUGCCCCCAGCCAUCAGGCCUGGGUCGUACGCCCUGUUGCCCAGAAGUUUAGCGCGUGGUUACGGAUAACCGCGCUCUCCUUGACCUGGACACACUAGUAGGAGGUACCUCUAUCUGUAUGUAUCGAUAGUACUGAUAUUGUUGGCAACAGAGAAGCUGAUUGGUGUGAUGAGAACACUAGAAUAGCCUGUGAGCUUUUUGCAGACGAAGUGCAAAAAGGAAAUCGUUCAACCACGCAUUUGAGUAAGACUGGGUACUUGAAUAUGAUAAGAAGGUUUUAGGAUAGGAUUGGACUUGUGUAUAUAGAAAACAAUUCAAGAAUAAAUAGGAUAAGUUGAAAAGUGAUUAUGAUAUUUGGAAGCAACUUACUAAGCAGACUGGUUUAGAAUGGAGUGCAUCAGGAAAGGAUAUUGUUAUGACAGGGACCUGGUGGAAGGAAACAACAUAGGUAUGAGACUUAAAAUUAGUUGUUUGUCCACUGUCAUGCUUUUUAAGUGACUCAAGAAUAUUUGUUGCAUUACAGAAAAUAAAGGGCUGCACCAGAUUUAAGAACAGAGGCAUCUAGAAUGAGAAACAAUUGGAAAUUAUGUUUGAAGACCGUCGUAACAACGGUGAUAAUCAUUGGUGUGCUUCUAGUGGUGUAGUACCUGUCCCAUUCCUGUUGAUGGUGAAGAUGAACCCUUCAAUGAAUAAAAUGAUAGUGAGCCAGAGGAGGUUGUCAGACCCGGGGCCACGGGACUGGGUACAUAACGUAGUUUAAAGAGGUCUAAGAGAUUAAGUCCGUCUUAUCUCUUAUUCAUCUUGUUUAUCUCUUAUUUAUUCCGUUUAAAUAGGAGAUAAGGCUAACCAAUACAGGGGGAAUCUACUCAAGAUAUGUUCUGGUACGGUUCCUUAGCUGGUGUUGGUUAAUAUCUUUGUAACACUGGCCUCUCGGAUAUAUAAGGGAGGAUAGGGACCCCUCUCAAAAUACGAUCUCUAGAUCAUUCUGCACCUAAGGCAAUACAAACCACUACAGGACGUAGGGUAUUACGCACCUAGCGGCCUGAACCUGUCUAAGCUUUGUGUUCCUUGUACCUUCGAGUUCCUGAUCUCGGCGUUCCCUCACCCAAAACUUACCACCUUGGGCAUACCCCUCGGUGGGCAGCCGGUUAAACAUCGACAGAGGUGACACCUAUAAGUGGGAGGGCGGAGAGAGGUAGAGGGGCUUACAACACCAAAGGGAAGAAGCCGAAAACAAGUACUAAUCAUUGGUUUCAUAAACAGAUGGGUAAGAUUGUGGAGAUAAAUGAGAGAACAACUGCAUCUUGUGAGUCCAUUGCAAAGAGGGAGGAUAAUUCUGGUUGGUCCAUGAAGGAUGUCAUGCUUUUGGUGAAGGAAUGUGGUGCUGUUCCAUCGACCAAUGAGCAUUUAUAGCAUCUCUUGUUUUUACCCAAAGGGCUGAAAGAGAAAUGUUUAUGACUUUGGACGCUCCCAAGGAGAAAUUUAAAUGGUUGACAAAGAAGCAUGAGUGGAUGAUAAGAAAUGAUAUGCCUAAGUAGAAAGCAUCCUAUUUGUCUUGGCAAGAUGCUUGUAGCAUCACCGCUAUAUCCUUGCAAUUGGAAUAUUUUUUUAAUAUGUUGUAAUAAUUUCGACUCUGUGAGGUUGUAAUACUGAUAUUAUUUUAAUGAGUGUUGUUUAUCUCAUGCACAGAUCUGAUUCUUCUUCUCUUAAAACUGAUGAUAGUGGUUCUGAUGAGGAUUGGACUAUGAAAACUAUGGUAUUAAUGAGGACUGCUCAGAAUAAUCUGUUUACUACUGCUCUUGUUGCCUCUAAAUAUUACAUGAUAUCAUGAUGAGAAUGAUCAUAUAAUUCCAUAAGAGUGGCUUUAGUUGGACACUGGAAAGACUUAACACUGGACAAAGCUACAAGUUGUUCAAGAUGGAUUCACAACUAUUUUACUAGCUAUAUGAUCUGCUCGUGAGUAGAUACUCCAGUCAUUGCUAUGUAGAAUCCCUUGCUAUGAGUUCAAUAGAAUCCCUUGCUAUGUUUUUUUAUUGUGGGCAUGGUAUGUCCAACAGUGCAAUGCAUGGUAUUUUCAAUCAUUCUGGUGAGACCAUUAGUAGAAAAUUUGACGAAGUCUUGAAUAGUGUGGUGGGUAUGUAUGAUGACUAUAUCGGGCAAAUUGAUCCUAAUUUUCGUACUACACAUCCAAGGAUUGCUAAUGAUCGUAGGAUGAUGCCAUAUUUUAAAGAUCGUAUUGGAGCGCUGGACGGUACUCACAUUGCAGCUACACCACCUCCACAUGACCUUAUCAGAUACAUUCGCCGAAGUGGCAAAGAGAUACAAAAUGUUCUUGCUGUUGUUGAUUUUGACUUGCGAUUCACAUAUGCAUCGAUUAGGCAACCUGGAUCAUGCAUGACACUAAUGUGUUGUUUCAUGCACUAAGGCAUGAUAAGGACAAGUUUCCGCACUCUGGUAUGUUCAUAUAUCCUUGCUUUUGCGAACAAGUGUGUACAUGAAAAUAUUUAACUUGUAACUCAUAUAAGUUUGCAUGUGAUUUUAGGAAAAUAUUAUGCUGUUGAUGCUAGAUGUCCAAAUAGAUCUAUAUACUUGGCACUAUACAAGCGAGCAAAAUAUCAUGUGCCAGAUUGGAAGAGGGGUCUUGCUCCAAAUGGUGAGCUUGAACACUUUAACCAUUUGCAUUCAAGUAUUCGAAAUGCGGUAGAGCGUGCCUUUGGUGUGUUAAAAAUAAAGUGGAGAAUACUUAUCAAAAUGCCGAGUUUUCCAUUGGAUAAGCAAAAAAUAAUUGUUGCCGCAACCAUGUGCCUUCAUAGCUUCAUUCGUGAGAACAAUGCAUAAGAUAAAGAUUUUCGCAGAUGUGAUCAGAAUCCUGAUUAUGUGCCCACUGUACUGGCAAGAUAUACAAAACAUCUUCGUUAUGCAGGAGAUACAUCAACUCCAGAAUCUAAUGAUCGGGCCAUGGAUAGAUUUUAUGAUGACCUUGCAUGGUCAAUCUUUCUUUCUAGAUCAUCAUGAGCAUGUAUCAAUGGUUAUAUGGUUUAUGUGAGGAUUGAGUUUUUUUUCAAAAUUACUCUAUUAGGAUAACAAGACAAUGAUUAUUAGGCAACUAAUAUUUCUAUUUAUUUAUUUAUUUUUAUAUUAAUUAAAAAUGUUAACUGAGUGCAAACAUAAAUAUAAACACAUAGACAUGUCAACAAACUAAAGGCAUAUUGGACAGUUGACCUCUUCAAUUCAUUCAUAAAAGCCAGGGUGAAGCCGUUUUACAAAACCCCUUCGCCAGAGAAGCGAGAGCCAGAGCCCUGCCAAAGUGAUGGAAGCAGAGCAGCUCCACCGACAGAGCCUCGAAUUUCCCGUUGAGGGCCCGUUUGGAUCAAAGGAAAAUCAAAGGAUUUUUGUAGGAAUACAAUCCAUAGGAAAGGAAACACGCUGCUACGUUUGGAACGGAAGAAACCGGCGAUCCGUUCCGCAGGAAAGGAAACUACGGGUGUGCAUGUUACAGGAAUCAAAAAAUCCACUCCGAGUCAAAGGAAAGAAAGGCUCGCUCUUUCUCCGUCUCUGUCUCUCACGUUCUCUCUCCGUCUGGUUUCCUGCAAUCCAAACAACAACAAUUCUAGUUUUCUGUGUUUUGAAUUCCUGUGAUUUUCUCAUCUUCUUGAUUCCUACGUUUUUUCCUAUUCCUGUAUUUUUCAUUCCUUUAUUCCAAGGGAAAAUUCCCUGGAAGGCCCUGAAGCAAAUGACGCUUCCUUCUAUGGCCCUGGAAAACCGAGACGCCCUUCUGUGGCCUCCUUUUUAUUUUCGUUCCCUUCCACGGCCCUCCCAUUAUAUCUGCAGUUAAGUCCCAGUUAAGUGAGUGUGAAAAGACCGUAGUACCCCUGGGCGAAAUCCCCCUGCGAGGCUCUCAAACAAAUCACGCUUCCUUCUAUGGCUCUGCAAAAACAGCAACUUCCUUAUUUGGCCCCGAUGAGCUCACCAAUUUCUGCAUGAGUAAGAGACUGCAGUUUGUUGAUCACUCCUUUUUAUGUAGAUAAUAGUGGAAUCUACCCUAAGUCCUCCGGUAAUCAGGUUGCAACACAGCAGCUUUGGGGUAAUCAGUUAUUCUUUCCAAAGAAUCAAGGUCAUCGAGAUGAGGAGCUGCCCAAUCUACUAGAAACUGCUCAUUUUGCUUCCUUGAACUGAAGAGGUAAAGUUCCGUUAGAAAUCCCAACUGCAACUUUUGUACAAAACUUGAAAAGUGUGAGAGCAGGCAAUACAUACCUGUCAAAAGCCUUUUGCCCAGUCAAAAGCACUAGUAAAAUCACACCAAAACUGUAAAUAUCAGCUUUGAUGCCAUCUGCUCCUGGAUCAGCAAGCUCAGGGGCAGCAUAGCCUUUAGCACUGGUGAUAGCUUCUGAAUCCUUCUGUUCAGGUGAUGAAUUGUUCAAAAAUAAUCAAAUGACAGCUGUCUUUGCAGGUGAUGAAUUGUUCAAAAAUAAUCCUUCUGUUCAGCUGCACACUCCCACAAUUUUGAGAAAAAACUAUAAGACGGUACGCACAUAUGAAAUGUCAUAUGAAAUAACAAUAGUAAACCUUAAGCAAGAUGAACAUUGCAGUGAAUGUUUAGCCAAUUUUACAUACAGUUCCACAAAAUGAGUUUAACAUACAGCUCCACAAAACGAGUUCAACAUACAGCUCCACAAAACGAGUUCAACAUACAGCUCCACAAAACGAGUUCAACAAGCUCAGAAUAUGGUAAAUCACAAAUUGAGCUGUCUUUUGCUUCUUGUGCUCAUUGCAGGGCUGCAAGAAUCAACUUUUUUGCUUCUUGUGGCCAUUGCAGGGCUUUCAAAUGACACAUCGUUCUUCUUUCCUUUGUCUUCAGUUUGCUUCUUGGAUUUGGGCUUCAUGAGCUUUCCCUUUUGUUUAGCCUUGUUAGCUAGCUUGUUCCCUUUUUCUUUAGCUGCAACAAGUGGAUUUUCCCUAGCCAUGGGAAACUCAGAGCUAAUGGGCUCAGGCUGGUCUGUACUACCUGCACUACCUGCUGACUUGGAUCUAUAUAUGUAUAACAAAUAAAAAUUAUCAAGUGUUAUAGAUAAAAUAAGACUGAUUUGUAUUCAAGGCUGAUUGCAGCAAAAUAAAAUACAUCAGAAUUAGAAGCAUAUAUUACCUGAUUGAGUCUCCAGAAUCUAAUGUGCCUUUUCUAAUUUUUUUCUUAGUUGUAGGUUGCACACUUUGGCUAUUGGAAAUAAAGAGAGAUAAUUAGAUGAAUAUUAAGAUGCACAUAAAAAGAUUGUGAAAGAGAGAACCUUGGUGGAAAAGUCAUAGAGGAUGCUGGUGCUUCACCAUCAAAAAGUACUGUACUUUCCUCAGUUGAUACCUUGGUAGUCUUUCUCUUCUUCUUUGGUGGUCCUCUACAGAAGUAUGGGAUAAACAAAGGUGUCAUUUUUGUGUACAAAUUGGUUUCAUGUUAGCCCAGUACUAAAACAAAGUAUAGUUUAUUACCUCACAGCCAGCAGUGCUGCAAUAUCCUCUGGGUUGCCCUUCUUGCAACUUGGCCAGUGAUGCCCAUAAUCUUUACAGAUAGGAUAUUUGUGCUGUCCUUUCUUUAUCUUCUCCGUACAACCUUUGUAUCUUUCUGUCUUUCUCCUACCAGCUGUGGCCUUUAACAAAGGUGGAUGCAUGAAAAACCCAUGGCAAGAUUGAGGCCAAUGUGACUUGUCCUCCAUAGCUGGGAUUAGUUGAGCAUAAGCUAAUCUAAAUUUUUCAACUGAGUAAUACAUGUCCACAUGGUUCUCUAGAGGCACAUGCUAGGUAUGGUUGGCUCAGAAAAUUGUUUGCUAUUACUAGGAUAACCCUCCCACUCAAUGAUAGGCUCAUAGCAUCCUGAUGGAUCACUGUAUGCAAUGAACAUGUGCACAACCUUGCUGUCAAUAUGUUUCUGAAACAUUAACAUCAACUCUUGGUCGGUAUUAACUACUGGGAAGCUUUUUAAAUCUGCAUCGUAGUACUGAACAUGUGCUACUUCUAGAUAACCUGGUGGAUACAUAUCUGUGAUCUCAUCGACCAAGUCUUUCAAAUUUGUUGUAUCACUGUCAACAACCUUAUCAAAGCAAAAACAACGGACAUCCUUUCUGACUUUUUUGGAUUGCCAAGAAGCUUAAUUUCCAACAAAUAAGUUGAGUUUGGAUCCAUCCUGUCAAUUAUAUUAUCCUACAUACAUGAGCAAAUUGUUCCUGGUCAGACAGUUAGAAACAAGAGCUUCACAUGUAAGCAAGUGCACAGUGGGCAGGUCAAAGCAACACUGAGAAUCAAGAGAAUUUUUUUUUUCUAGAACAUAAUUAUAGAAGUUAUUUAUAUCCAUUGGAAGUCUUGCAUGUAAAGUCUAGAUCUAAGGAUGCAUGUUACAUUUCAGAUCUGUUGCAACCCAGGCAAUAGUGUGCUGAUGGAGUAGGACAGACAAUGUGCAGCUCAGCUGAUAAUGGCGUGAUUCUAAUAAAAUUGCUCAUUCUGAAAAGUUUUUGCCCCCACAAUUUCGCAAUUGAUAAUGUAGAAUUAUGUGCUUAAUUACGAAACAUGACUAGGGUAGAACCAUAGAAGCAACCGUUAUUCCCUAAACCAACAACUUCACCAAGUACAGGUUCUAGCUGCCAAAAUGCAAUUGAUGAUAAUCUGAUAACUGGAAACGUGGUUCCACCCUCGCUACAGUUGUGGGUGGACCAGCCAGGGUUCCAACCCCAGUCUCCGCAUCCUGAAGUAGGGAGCUAAUCUAGCCUCUAGAUCCUAUAAUAAUCUGAUAACCGGCUAUUUUCAAUUCAUGCAUUAAUAUCAAAUACUAUAAAUCACACUUAAGUUAUCUGCCAUCAGAAGCAUAAAUGAUUGUUUCACAAUACCAUUAACAUGUUAGAGCAUUGAAACAAUAUAUCAAACAGGUAAUAAUAUUUAGAUUCAAAUUGAUAGAUCUGGAACACUGCCGUCAAUUUUAGACAUAAAAGAUGCUACUUGUGAGGUCACACUGCAAUUUCACCAAGUAUAAGUCACUCACUAUACAGAUGCUACUUGUGAGGAUCUUGAUGCCAUUCCCUUGUACAGUUCAUUGAUGGUUUCAGGAAAUGAUAAGGUCAUAGAUAAACUGGAAUUACACUACACAGAUAACAACUUCAUUGAUACCAUUGCGCAAUAUUUUGCAGCAUUUUCUUCAAAUAUCUUACAUGGACCUACAUUGUGCUCGUAAACACUAUCUUCAUAAGUUUUUACAUAGACCUGCUAUCCCGCCAAUGCGGAAACCAAGAUUUUGCACGACCGAAAGAAGUGACGAAACAGAAAAAGAAACGCCACGAACCUGGGGAGCAAGAAGGGGGACUAGCUACCGGGCGAGGGACGGCACUGGUCAAAGCGGCGGAGCACCUUGGGGUCGUGCAUGGAUAGCACAAAGCGCGAUAGCGCCUCGAGGUAGAGCGCCGCCUGGUAACCCCCCUCCGCGCGCCGCGCCUCCGUGCGCCGCCCCUGGCCGCGCCUGGCCGCCCCCUCCGCGCGCCGCCCCUGGCUGCACCUGGCUGCCCCCUCCGCGCCCCCCUCCGCGCGCGGCCCCUGGCCGCCCCCUCCGCGCCCCCCUCCGCGCGCUGCCCCUGCCCGCCCCCUCAGCGCGCUGCGCCUCCGCGCGCCGGCCCUCCGCGCCCCCCUCCGCGCGCCGCGCCGCCCCUCCGCGCCCGCCCUCCGUGCGCCGCGCCCUGGCAGAUCCUCCUCCGCGCGCCUCAGUACGAGGAGAAGUACGAGGAGAAGACGAGGGCCUCAGAUGGGAUCGGGGCUGUGUGUGGGAGUGGGAGGGGUAUUUCGGUACAAGAAUUUUGGCUCCUCACCUCAACCAUCAAACCCUAACAGAUUGGCCUAACAGAUGUAACGGGAGGACCAUAGAAAGGAAUGAAAAUAAAAAAGAGGCCACAGAAGGGCUCUUGGUUUUUCAGGGCCACGGAAGGAAACGUUAUUUGCUUCAGGGCCUUCCAACGAAUUUUCCCUUAUUCCAAACGGGGCCUGAGAGGAGCUGGAAGAGGGAGGAGAAGAAAAAAAAAAACCAGCUCACGCGGCUCCUCCACCACGCCUACCAUCUUUUUGCCCCGGGCUCCGCCUUCUCGCGCGUGGCACCAGCCUCUUCGCGCGCUCUGCCUUGCGAGCCCUUGCGCCUGCAGGUGGCGAACGGGUGCGGGAGGCUAAGCGGCGGCCGGCCGGCGGUGGGAACCCGAGGCGGGGCGGGCGGGUGCAGGAGGCCGGGUGGCUGCGGGAGCAGCAGCCGCGGGGGGCUGGAGGUGGCUGCGGGAGCCCAUGGCGCUGCGGGCCACGGGAGGAGGCCAAGCUGGAGGUGGCGGCGGGAGCCCAUGAUGCUACGGGCCACAGCGGGAGGCCGGGCGGCGACAGGAGCAGGCGGUCGGUCGAUGACGGGAGCAGCGGCGCUUGGAGCUAGAGGGGGGAGGGAUAAGGAGGAUGGAGAAUGGGAAGAAAAGGUAAAAAGAAAAGAAAUAUAAAAAAAGAAAAUAUAAGGGCAAUAUGAAUAUUUCAUCAUUUUAAAUAACUAGAGAAGCUAUUUUACCGAAUGUUUUUACAACCAGAUAAUCUGUAGCUAAAAAAACUGCUCCACCGGAGAAGGAGAAGCCGGAGCUAUUUUUGGACAUGAUCAAACGGGGCUGGAUGGAGACUUAAGACUUAAAGAGGGAGUGAGAGACAGACUGACGGUAAUCGAGUUCCAGCUGCAAACAAACCAAACUGCAAUCGAGCUCCUUUGACCUCCCAUCUGGACCGGACCGGACCUUCUUUUCAUCUUCUUGGCAAGUGAUUUGCCUGGAAAGGGCUCGUCUCGAAAGGUAUCGCCUUGCUUCUUAAUCGGAUCCAAUUCCAAAUCGGCCAUUCAGUCCAGCAAGCAAUUCGACGCCUUGCGUACUUGUCCAUUCGAUUGCUGUUAAUCCCUGCUCUGCCCUUUUAUUUUAGCAUCUUGGGAGCCAUUCAGUUCAUUCAAUCCACCGGACAGCAAUGGGAUUUGUCGAGGAGAGCAAGAGAUCCCUGACGGUUGCCCCCUUUGAGUGCGCCUGGGGCGAGGAGCUUCGCUUCGGGAAGCCUGGCCGUGGCUGCGUCGCCUUCGAGGCAUCGGCGCAGAACGACGUCACCCUGGUGUUCCGCCAGCAGCCUGGGAGCCAGCACUACCACUACAAAAUGGACAGCAGCCGCCACUACACUGUCAUCUUGGGCAGCCACAGGAACAAACGGCUCAGGAUCGAGGUGGAUGGAAGCACCGUUGUUGAUGUUGUUGCCCUCGGCCUGUGCUGCUCCUCCUCCUUCCAGGCCUACUGGAUCAGCAUCUACGACGGCUUAAUCAGCAUCGGCCGAGGAAGGCAUCCCAACACCAAUCUCCUGUUCCAGUGGCUCGAUCCCGAUCCCAACCCAAAUGUUCAGUACGUCGGCCUAUCCAGCUGGGACAAGCACGUAGGGUACAGGAACAUAAGCAUUCUCCCAUCAGCUCCCCAAAACAGCAUACUUUGGAGCCACUACGUUCAUUCGGAGCAAAGGUUAUGCUGUGGGAAACGAGCCACAAGAGAUGACUCUGAAUCUGACCAAAGGCUACUUGCAGACUUUCUGGAGAGUUGGGACUUCUCUGAUGCAAUAUUUGUGGUUGGCACUGAAAGAAAGGUUGUUCCUGCACACAAAGUUGUCCUCUGUGCUUCUGGAGAUUUUCCUUUUGAACUAGUGGAUGGAGCUACCAUUGAACUUCCAUCAGUAUCCUACCCAGUUCUCCACUCCCUUCUUGAGUAUAUCUACACAGGUUCCACACAGGUAAGCUGCUUUGACCUGCUAUGUCUGCUCUUUCUCAAAAUCGACCAAGUCUGGAAACUGAAAGGCAUUCAUUUUGUUGUCUGUUCAGAUUGCUGAAUGGCUACUAAGUUCUCUGCUCGAGUUGAGCUCGCAUUUUAAAGUCAAACCAUUGGUGAAGUGUUGUGAAGAAAUCAUCAUCUCUUUGGAAGUGGAUAAGAAUUUUUCUGCAUCUGGCAAACUCUUAAAAUUAUCAAGUAGCGGAUUUCAAGAUCACAAAUUUGGUUCAUCCCCUCUCAAAGGCCCAAUUAAUUCACAGAAAAUUGGACAGUUCCUUGCAAAUGGCAAAUAUAGUGAUAUAAAUAUCUAUGUUAAUGGACAUGGUCUUGUUGCCAAGGGUCACAAGCUUAUCCUUAGCCUGUGGAGCAUGCCGCUUGCCAAGGUAGACUCGUUUUCCUUUUUUACUUCCUGCGUCAGAUUCAAAUCUCGGGGUCAUUAAGUGCUAUGCAUCAUGCAUAUAUUUGCAUAAAUAAAGUAUGAGCACAAACAUGCAGAUGUUCACAAACGGGAUGAAGGAAAGUAGUGCCUCCGAUGUCUUUUUCAAAGAUGUUCCUCCUGAAGCAUUCUUUCUCCUCCUUCAGUUUAUGUACCACGGGGAGCUUAAGGUGGAUACCCAGGAUAUUACAUCAGUGUUGGUGCAGCUGCUUCUAUUAUCAGAUCAGUUCGCCAUCACUGUUCUUCAGUUUGAAUGCUGUAAACAAAUAAUGGAAUGCCUUUCAGAGGUACCUAUGUUUUCUUCCAAUAGAAACUACACCAAGAAAACUUGCUGGUACAACUUAGUGGAACUAAAGACUGCUUAUAAUGAGUAAUUCAUUUUCACCAGUUUGUAUAGCUGUGUUGUUCUUAAAAAGGCACUUGUGACACUUCAUUCUGCAUGCAUUGUCAUCCGCAUAUUGAGAAAGUAAAAUUUUAUUUUUAUGCAAUAUCUCAUGUCUUUAUACUUCUGCUACAGUUUCAGGCCUUUCUAUUGUCCGUUUUGCAAUUAGUAAAAGCUAUAUCUUGGCUACUCAAGACUUGCAGUGGCAUGUGGUAGUCGUGACAAUAUGUAGUGGGGCCAUUAGUCUCAGAAAUAAAGUAUAUGAGAUAUUAAUACAUUCCACAUGCGUUAUACAUGCAGGGCUCGCGUGUCCUACUGGAAGAAGCUCAUCCAACAAGACUAGUUUCUAGUUUUAUUCCAAAUUUAAGGGAAAUGGCUUCUGCAAAUUUGGGUGAACUUGUAGCUGGUUCAGUGUAGACUGACCCCUGAAAGUUCUUGCAGGACACAGUAUGUUCAGUCUUACAGGCGGUUUCAUCAAUCCCAUCUUGUAAACUGCUUGAGGAAGUUUGCAAGAGGAAUUUUGCAACGCACUUUGACUAUUGCACAACUGCUUGCACGGACUUUGUUUUGUUAGAUGAGGCAACGUUUAAGGAUAUUCUUCAGGCAAGUAAUAUAACUGUUUUUGGUACAUUUUUUUGAGGAGAACUGUUUUUGGUACAUCAUCCUACUGCACUCACUAAAUACAUUGGUGUCCUUGAGACAUAGAUUAAGAUGUUUAUCACGAUUCAGCAUUACCAGAUAAUCAAGAUGUUAGUGGUCUAAUGCUAAAUGCCAUGUGUAAUAUCUUGAAGCUAUAGUAGAUUGCCAGGAGCCGCCUCACAUAAGCUUGGCAAUUUUAUGAGAAAAGAAACUUAUGGUUUUGUAGUUGUAUCCACUGAAGCCCUUCACUUUUAUCAGUUCUGUUGUUGCAUUUUCCUGACAAACAAAUGUGACUUUCUUAGUUUGUGGCUUUAGCCCUUGGUAACCUUUUCUGGUCGCAAGGCUUGCCAAUUAAUUAUGCUGAUAUCUCCUUAUUAAUAAUUGUAUAUAUCUUCAUGCGUACUCUGUUAAUGAACCUGUACAUUCAUUAAACGUCAGGGAAAAAGGAAUUAUGAGUUUGGAUAGGAAUGGAAGUAAAAUUUGCUCUCCAGUUCUUUUGGUUCGGACAUGGUUAAGAUUUUCUGGUUUAUAUAUUAUCAUUUCAGUUAUUAUUUUACAUAAAUAAAUGAAUCUGUGUUGAACUACAGCCUAAGUGUGGGAAGAUGUACUUGCAAAGAGGAUGCACACCAUUUGUAAAACACUGAAACUAGUGGUGAGGCAUUUCUUUUGGCAUUGGUCAUACUAGUAGUAAUUUUGCAGCAUGGCGAUAUGACGGUAACAUUGGAAGAGAGGGUUCUGGAUGCCAUCUUAACAUGGUGCAUGGGGACUUGUGAAACUUUUUACUGGACUUCAGUAGAUAAGCUCUUGAGAACUUCAACACCUGAGCAACUCUUUGGAAAGAGGCUUUCCGCCGUCGGUACUUUACUGCCAUUUGUGAGGUUCCCUUUGAUGCAGCUGCCAAUGCUAAAGAGGGUACGUGUUGCUUUUUGUGUUAUACCUGAAACAACUUGUGCUGAAUAAUUUGUAUGGAUUCUUAUAGCGCUUGCUGCUUCUCUGCAGAUGGAGAGAAGUAAUCUGGCGAACCGCAUACAAGCAUUCAGACAGCUGGUUAGUGUUGCUUGCUCCAGAGUUUAAUCUUUUCAGUUGGUGCAUGUUUCUGGACUGUAAGUGUACAACCUGAUUACUUGUUGGACCACAGGUUGCAGAAGCCAUCAAGUUCUCUCAUGCUGGACAAUGGACGCCUACGUCAUAUGAAUGGUGAGUAUGUGUUGACUUGAAUCGGACUGGAGUAAGGAUUGACAGUAUUGCUGACUGGUAUUUGUAUGUGAAACCUAAAUCUUUCAGUGAGAGAUUUCAGCACAGGCGCUCAAGCUAUAAAGAGCUCCAGUAUAUCUCUGAUGGUGAUAGCAAUGGUGUUAUCUACUAUGCCGGAACAUCAUUUGGAAAACAUCAAUGGAUGAAUCCUGUAUUAGCCAAGGUAGGGGGGGGGGGGGGGUGCUUGAGGUGAUUCAGUGCAGUAACUAAUAAGCCUGGUUUAUUCACUGAUGAGCAUCUAUCUAUUUCUGCAAUUAGAAUAUCACUGUGGUGGCAAGCAGCCCGAAUUCCAGGCACACGGAUCCAAAGGCUUUGGUUUCAAAGAAUUACCAGGUAUGAUGAUAUCAUUGGGAAUUAUGGCUGAUAAAUGGAGAACAAUAUUAAGCAUGAUAUGCAUGUGGCGACUCUAGGGGACAUGCUUUGCUGGGCCUUGUAUUGAAGAUGGAAAGAAGCUUUCUUGGUGGAUGGUAGACAUCGGGCAGGACCAUCAGGUUAGCUUCUGGGAUCUGUUGGUGCCUCAGUUGGCUUGCUUGCGUUGCUUGCUAAUACAAGACAUACAGUAGUGAAGUGACGAAUUGUUGUGCAGCUGAUGUGCAACUGCUACACGGUGAGACAGGAUGGCUCCACAACCUUCAUGAGGUCCUGGGUUCUUCAGGUACCUGCAGUACUUUCAAUUAUAUUCCUUGCGGAAUCUUGAAUGGAGAGAGAGGCUGAACUACAUAGUGAAGCUGAUGAGUCUGCAUCGCAGGGAUCCAUGGACGGCCGGAACUGGACGAGCCUCCGCGUCCACGACGGUGAUGCUACCAUUUGCCAUCCCGGGCAGUUCGCGUCGUGGCCCAUCGUUGGCCCGCCGGCCCUGCUGCCCUUCCGAUUCUUCAGGGUGGCCCUGACGGGCCCUGCCGCCGGCAGCGUCUCCAACGCUUGGAACCUCUGCAUUUGCUUCCUCGAGCUCUACGGCUACUUCCGUUAGAAGAGGACCGUGCCAUUUUUUUUAUUGGCUUUGUACUUACACCGUGUACAUAUAUAGCUCUGUACUGCUGGACAUACGGGCUUGCUUGAAUUUCGCUGUCUUCUUGUUGCAUAUCAAAAGAUGCUGUAUAUAUGCUUUUGUUUGAAGAUAAAUAUACUCGAGGGAAAACAUGCUGGCAGUGUUGAUCGAGCUUAUCAAAUGAAUAACAAAGAUUGUUUCCACGGUCGUUUUCUUUUUUGUUUCUCUAAAACAUAUGAUACAAAAGCAGACGCUCAGAUAUAUGUAUACUUAAAAUAAUUUUUUUUGAAAAAGUGUGGAAGAUAACAAUGAUCUUACCAAACCUUUCACUGAAGAGGAGGUGAAGAAAACUGUGUUUAGUAUGAAAGACAAUACAGCUCCUGGGCCUGAUGGUUUUGGAGUUACUUUCUACAAGAAAUGUUGGGAAACAAUCAAGGGGGAGCUGAUGGCAAUGGUUAACGACUUCUACCUGAGGAGGUUGGACAUAGCCAGGCUUAACUAUGGGGUGGUAACACUGAUUCCCAAGGUUCAUGAUGCCAAUAAUGUUAAGCAAUAUAGGCCAAUCUGUCUGCUAAAUGUCAGCUUUAAGAUAUUCACCAAGCUAAUCAUGGGGAGACUUACCAGGGUGGCAAAACAACUUAUCUCACCAAGUCAAACUGCUUUCAUUAAAGAUAGGUUUAUUCUGGAUGGAGCAGUUAUACUACAUGAAGUGAUCCAUGAACUGCACUCUAAGAUGUCUGGAGUGAUCUUGAAAAUAGAUUUCGAAAAAGCUUAUGAUAGUAUCAACUGGAACUUUGUGGAAGAAGUUAUGAUUAGGAAGGGCUUCUCUGAGACAUUGAGGGGGUGGAUCAUGGACACUGUCAAAGGGGGGAGGGUGUGUAUCAACAUCAAUGGCCAAAAUGGUCCCUACUUCAAGACACAUGGAGGCCUCAGGCAGGCUGUCCCCCCUGCUGUUCAACUUAGCAGUGGACGCUCUUGCACAUAUUAUGGACAAAGCAAAAGGCCGGGGGUUGGUAAAAGGGGUGGUGCCUCACUUGGUUCCUUGGGGAUUACCCAUUUGCAAUACGCAGAUGAUACAGUGGAUCUGACAGAGAAUUAGUUAAGAACAUGAAGUUCCUCUUAUACUGCUUUGAAUGGAUGUCAGGGCUGAAAAUUAACUAUCAUAAAAGUGAGAUCCUUGUUUUUGGAGCAGAAGAGGAGGAGAAACAUGUGCUGGCCAACAUGUUGAAUUGCAAGAUGGGUCAGAUGCCAAUGAAGUAUUUAGGCUUCCCAAUAAGUGACAGAUCCCUAGGAGCUGGGGCAUUCGGAAGCAUAGUGGAAAAGAUGAGGAAGAAACUGCAGCCAUGGAAAGGUAAACACCUAUCCUAUGGGGGGCGCCUUAUUCUGACAAACUCUUCCCUUAGCAGCAUGCCUACUUACAUGAUGGGAAUGUUCAAUAUUCCUGAAAUUAUACACAGCCAGAUGGACACAUCUGAAGCAGAUUCUUUUGGAGGGGGGAUUGUGAGAAGUUUAAAUAUCAUAUGGUAAAAUGGGAUAAUGUGUGUUUGCCCAAGGACUUUGGGGGUUUGGGAAUCACAAACACCAGGGCUUUAAAUGAAGCCUUGCUGGUUAAAUGGGUUUGGAGGUUCUACAAAGAGGAUGAGGGUGAUGCAUGCUGCCAGCUGUUAAGAGCAAAGUGCCUAAGGAAUAAACCUAUGCUGCUGUGCAAAGGGACUACUGGCUCACAGUUUUGGAGGGGUGUGAAUAAGAUCAAACAUUUGUUUAGUUGGGGGGCAACUUUCAAAGUAAAUAAUGGGAAAAACACCAGAUUUUGGGAAUAUGUAUGGCUAUUAGACGUUCCCUUGAGGCUGGCUUAUCCCAAGUUGUACGAAUACUGUAACAGCAAAAACUGCUUGGUCAGUGAUUGUUUCCGUGAAGGGGAAUGGGAGAUAUCCUUUAGAAGAUCUUUUAGAAACACUGAAGUAAGGCAAUGGGAGGGUCUGUUAUCACUGCUGGAGGAGGUUCAGCUGAACAAUAUCAGAGACUCGGUCUUAUGGGGGCUUGAAAAAUCUGGACAGUACACCACGCGAUCCAUGUAUAGGAUAGUGUCGCAUAGACAUAGAGGGGUGGUCAACAGCCGCAAUGAAAAAAGUGUGGAAGAGCAGGCUACCGUUGAAAUUGAAGGUGUUUGCUUGGCAGGCCUUCCAAGGGGUUGAGCUGAAAAAAAAAGAAAAUGGAAAGGAAGCAAAAACUGCAAUAUCUGUGGGUGUCCUGAAACUGGGGACCAUACUUUCUUCUCAUGCAUAGUUGCUAGAUUCGUUUGGACAUGCUUCAAAGAAGCCUUGGGGUGGGAUAGGAUUCCUAUAGGGAUGCAGGACUUCCUGGAGUGCUGGAUACCUCUGGGGUGCAGAGACUAUGGCCUUAAACUUUUCUUACUUACUAUUGUGAUGUGGUCGCUUUGGACGUCACGCAACAAAAAGAGCAAUUGAGGGGAGGUUCCCCCGAUGUCCCGCUGACCUACUGUUCAAAUCUAACAUGUUUUUGCAGAAAUGGAAGGUACUGUUGAGGGCUGAUGGCCUCGACAAACUAGAAGAAAUGACAACACAGAUAAGAAGCUGGGGGGAGUUGGAGGACGAUUUCAUCUGAUGUCUGUCUUUUGCGCCUUUUUUUUUCUGAUUAGCCCAGUUUGCAAAGGCCCAGCAAACCUAUGUAUCCAAACUCUUAUUCGCUUUCUAUAAAAGCUGGGUGAACCCUGUUUCAAAAAAGGAAAAUGAAAAUUAUACUGUGACGUACGGCGCAUGAUUAUCUUGCUACAGGUUAUCAGCUGCAGAGACGGCGUCAUAUCUUGGCUACUUCCGAUUGUUGCUUCUGUGGCGCGCAGAACUGAAAGAAUGGAACACUGCUUUGUUAUGUGCUAGUUUGUUGCUUCUGGAAAGGAGUGAAAAGUCAGGUUGAUAUACAUCUUGGUAGAAGAUACAUAAUAAAUACAAACCAGUGGAUGUUUGAUCUGUUGGAUAGAUGUAACGAAAUACAAGCAGGAGUGGUUGCUGUAGUGCGUUGGCAUACUUAUUAGCAUCAAUGUUGAUGCAACAAUCUUUACCUCUUCUUCUAGUUUGGCCUUUGAGUUGGUGUUUCUAAGGGUACAUGACUAUUAGUUUAUCGUAUGUCAUUCAAUGGCAUCACCUUACCUGAAGUUGCAGGCUCUUGUUCUACACACUCGCUCGAAGAAGGUUUCCAUAGUGUGUUGGCAUAUUUGGGAAGUCCGAAAUGAAGUGAGAAAUUCUGAUGCUAAAGCUUGCUCGACAACAGCAGUUAAGAAAGUGUGGUUGCUUAUGUGGAGAUGAUUGUUAUACAUUGUUUGAAACCAAGUUGCUUAAUUUGGUUUGUUAAUGUUGAUGCAACAAUCUUUGCCUCUUCUUCGAGUUUGGCUAUUAAGGUGGCGUUUCGAAAUUAUAUGGGUGCACGUCUAUUGGCUUAUCAUAAGUCACGCAAUGGCAUCAGCUCAUCUGAAAUUGCAGAGGCUCUUGCUCUACGAUAUGUUGUUGUUCUUGCGCUCGAAGAAAGUUUCCAUAGUAUGGUUUUGCAAUCUGAUUGCUUGGCCUUAAUUCUGAAGACAAAUGCACCUGUCACUGCUGUUAGAUAUAGAACUACAGCGGGCUUUAAAUAGCUGAUAUUAGAUCGCUGGUCUGGAGUUUUCUUUGGUUCAUGAAAGUUAUUAUUGUGCUAAUGAGGUAGGCUCGAUCGGGUAAGCUUAUUCGGUCUUUCGAUCCUAAUUGCAUCCAAAAAAUUUUGUAAACCUUUUAGCUUAUAAUAAUCCAUAUGCAGUUUUCAAUAAUAUAAUUAUUUAGUUAAACAGAAAAAAAAGUAUCAGAAGGUAGGCGAUGCCGAAUUCAAUUGCCGAUGAUAUAUAUAUGCUGAAGCAAUAUAAUAGCAUGCAUACAAAGCAUGCAUGGAACUUGGUACAAGAUGGAUGGAUCAUAUCGAGAUGACUCUGAUGAUCUAUCGAUAGCAGUACAGACGUAGAUAGAUAGAUAUAUAUAUAUCAGUUGACGGUGACCUUGCCGACCAUUCCGGCUCCUUGGUGCGGCUCGCAGUAGAAUCCGUAGGUUCCCGGCACGGUGAGCGUGACGGAGUAGGUCUCUCCCGGCGCGUUGAGGUACUCCUCCUGCGAGAUCUUGGCGGCGUCGACACCGCUGGGCACCUCGUCCUCGUCGAAGACGACGUUGUGUGGGUACCCGGCGUUGUUCUUGAAGGUGAUUGCCUCGCCGGCCUUGACGGUGAACUCGCUGGGCUCGAAGACGAGGACGCCUCCGGUGGCGCCCAGCAGCACCUCCUGGGCCAUGGCGCCGCCGGCGAGCAGGGCGCUGGCGGCCACGGCCACGGCGGCGGUGCCGGCGGCCUUGCCGAGCGAGGCGCGCACGGUGAAAGCAGCAGCAGAGCGCCUGCUGGCAACGGCGCGGGCUGGCCUGGCAGCCGCGAAGGAAGGGGCGGUGACGGCGGCAGAGGAGAGGGAGGCCAUUGUUAAGUUGGUGGUAGACUCACUAGACCGAGCAAAUAAAGCUGCAACUGCAACUGCAAAGCAAGAGAGAGAGAGAGAGAGAGAGAGAGAGAGAGAGAGCGCGAGCGAGCAAGCUAUAGCCUAUAGCUAGCCAGGCCCCGGCAGGUGGAGAGGAGGGAGAAAUAGGAGGAGGUGGCAGGGGAGGAUGAGGCAACGGGUGGCCAGGGAGAAAUCCUUAUCCCGGCGAUCCUUAUGGCCGUGCUUGCGUUGCAUGCCCACGGAUAGAUAGACC